GGUUCAUAUGCUAAACUCUAUCCAAAUCUGUUGGAUAUUUUUUUUUUAAAUUGGAUCGGAAUAAAAUAGCUCCAUAACAUCUUCAAUCCAACUUCGUUUUUUAUUUCAAAAUAAAUUUUGGAUUACUCCAUAAAGAAGUAAUUUUUUGUUUUAUUUAUUAUUUUUUAAAUGGAGUAAAACUUAAGUGAAAUUUAAUUUUAAUAUAGAAAUAAUAAUGUAAACUUGUUAAACUAUUAGAACAUUUUGAAGUUCUCUAUUAUGGAGUAGAAUUGGAAUUACUGCAUCUUAGAAGGAAAUAAUUUGAAUAUAUAACUCAAAAUUUAGUUCCUUUGCUGUCCAAGUUUAAUUAACUUAUAAAAACUCGAUGUGGUGAAAAAUACAACGUUGGUUCAAAUUGGAUAGCGUAGAAUCCUUCUAAGUGUUCCUGGAUGAUAUAUACUAGAUCUCGACGUAUUUGUAUGUGGGAUUUAAAUCUCCGUAAGGUUAAAAUCUUUGUAAUUUGGUUAAUGAAAGUUGUUGUUCCGUAAAAAAAAUGGAAGAAAUUAAUUUUGGAAUAUUUAUAAGAAAAUGAAAUUCAUUUCCUACAUUUCUGGCUACGAUUACUUGCAUGUGAACGUGACCCAAGAAAAAUGAUUAGACGGUAUGCUGAUAAAAGCGAGAAACUAAUUGAAAAAUAUCAACCAACCAGUUGAAGUAAUUAUCAAAACGCAUGUUUUCAGCCAUUGAGAAACAAAGUGUAUAAAUUCAAACGCAAACGCUGAAAGAAGACAAGCGUCCGAAGAAUGCGAUUUGCGACCAAUAAAACAAGAAUGAAAAGGACGUUCACGUGGACCUACCCGCAGCGUAUAAGAACCUCUCUCACUCUCCACCAUCACCACUUCUCUCACUAUAACUGCAUCCCCCACUCUAACAAACCCAAACGAGUUUCCAUUUUCAAAUUCGAAUUUCAAAUUUUCAUCGGAGAAGUUUCGUCGAUGAAGGUGAUCGCGUCGAGAAACUCAAAGCGUAAGGCUGUGGCGACGCCGUUCGCCGCGAAGAACCUUCCGUCGAUGAGUUCGAUCCGGAAGAGAGCUCUGAUCUCUCCACUAUCCGCUGCUUCCGGCUCCAAUUUGCUUUCUGCAGUCGACGACAAUGUCUCAUGCGGUUCCAGCAGAGUCGAGGAGAGCUCGAAGCUGAAGAAGAUUCGAAUCGAAGAGGAAGAAGAAGAAGUUUGGGGACCUGCUGCUGAUCCGAAGCUUCGGAGGAUCACGAGGUCAUACUCUAAGGUAACCAAGGAGAAGGAAGGAGACGAGAUCGAAGUAAGCGAAACGUCCUUCACACGAUCCGACGUGACGUUUGCCGAGAAUAAGGAGAGCGACGUCGUUUCGGGAGUAGAGUCUUGCUCCAAGUUCGGGAGCGUAACCGGAGGAGGAGGAGGCGAUUACGAAGAAACUGAAAUCUCCAAACCGAGCGGACACGUGGAAGCGAAGACGGAGGUUGUGACCAUGCUAUUAUGUCAAAACGCAUUUUCCAAAUUGUGAAAUUACUAGUGUACUCGUGUUUUAUUGUGCUGCGUUUUCAGAAACGCUAUUGUAGAAUCGAUAUGCGUAUCUGCGUGACUGAGCUAAAGCUUACUGCUCCAUGAUGGAUCAUGCUGAUUUCAUCCCUCAGCUACGCUUGAUCAUGGUUCAAUGGAUUGUGGAGGUUGAACAUUUAUUAUCAUUCUCUUCUUGUAUGCAUUGCAUUUGAUUGAAGCGUCUAAUAAAGGAACGAUUCUAAAUGUGUGUAUGGUGUUCUUCUGUUUUGCUGAUUUGUCUUCUCCCUGACUAUACGCAGCAAUGCUCUGCAAUGGAGCUUCAGCCAGAGACGUUGUUUCUAGGAGUUAGUCUGCUGGAUCGUUUCCUGAGCAAAGGAACCUUCAAAAGCGAGAGGACUCUAGUACUAGUCGGGAUUGCGAGUCUUACUCUAGCCACCAGAAUUGAAGAAAACCAACCUUACAAUAGGUAACAAACCAUGUUCCAUCUUUCAUUAUUCUGACUUCUAGUGUUCAUUAGGUAAAAUGGUCUCAAUAAGAAGAUGACUACAUGGCUUCCAUAUACAAAUCUUAUAUGGUCAUGUAUGUCAAACAUUGGAAUCUGUUUCUCAAAAGCUUUGUAGUACAAAAGCUUCUGGACACACACACAUAUUAAUAGUUCAAUUUUCUUGAGCUCCUCACCUGAUACUUUCUCCAUAUGAUUAGCAUCCGGAGAAGGAACUUCUACAUCCAGAACCUAAAGUACAGCCGGCAUGAAGUGGUGGCAAUGGAGUGGCUGGUUCAAGAAGUUCUCAACUUCAGAUGCUUCUCACCCACAAUCUUUAACUUCUUAUGGUAAAAUCCUUUAUUACUGAAGAUUAUUUUCUGUUGCAAGACACAUACACACACUGACUGAAAUAUACAUAUAAUUAUCAUUGAUACAUCUCAGGUUUUACCUAAAAGCUGCACGAGCCAAUCCGGAAGUUGAAAAGAAAGCAAGAUCCUUGGCCAUAACCUCACUAUCCGAUCACACUCAACUCUGUUUUUGGCCCUCAACUGUAGCAGCCGGGGUUGUAGUUCUCGCCUGCAGUGAACACAACAAAAUCUCAGCCUACCAACGAGUCAUAAAGGUACCAAUCUCUUCAACACAUACUUAAAGAUUUUUUGAUCUCAAAGAACAUACAGAACAUUCACAAUCCAAACCUCCAUCUCUCUCUCUCUCUCUCUGCAGGUUCACGUUAGAACAAAAGAUAACGACCUGCCUGAAUGCGUCGAGGUAUUUUGUUCAACAUCACUCUCAUCGAAUCAGAUCUCCUUUUUUCCACUAAAAGAGUUGACGGAUGUGUUUUAAAUUCGCGUUUCUAUAUACAGAGCCUGGAAUGGUUGCUUGAGCAGUAAGCAAUCCACAAGAACAAAUUACACCACAAACCAAAUACAGUAUACUCCAAUACGAACUCACAGGUUAUUAUUACCAUUUACGCAACGAACCUUUAUAAGGUAUAUAACAAGCCAAUGCCUCUACAGAUUUAUAUGCUUAAUCUCUGGACUUUAAUUAGCUCUUGUCUCUGCAUUACUAGUACCAAUUAUCAGGCCACAUUUGUGCUGCCACACACAUUUAUUGCUUAUUUUGUCCAAUACAUUACAAUCUCAUUUUAUUAAAACUUUUUUUUCCUAUUUCUUCUUUAAUAAGGUGUGAAAGACUUCUUAUAUUUUCAGUCAUCACUGUCAUUUUUAUAUUGGUUAGAAGAUCAAUUUUUUUGUGUCUCUAAGGUAAAUAACCUAGCGUCUGAAAAUAAAUAAAACAUAUAAUUGGAAGGACUGUAGGAUUAUAUAUAUGGUUUUUGGUACAACUACGAUAUGAAAUGAUGACAUAAUUGCUGAUUGUUGCCACCGGAAUGAUAUUCCAAUGCUUGAAUCCUGGCGCAAAAUUUGACAAUUCUAUGGAAUACAUCAUUUCACAUGAUCUCUUGUUUAUAUCUACACUAGUAGCUUGAGAUCCUGUUCAAUGUGAACUUAGCAGAAUUCAUUCACUCUCAAGUCUUAACAUUAAAAUUUCAGAUAAGUACUUGCAUAUAAAAGUUAAAAUUGUUGUUUCUCUAGUUUCAUUAAAACAUAUACCAUUCAACACAUUUUGGGUUAUCAUUUUAGACAUUUUAAAAGAUAUUCGUUUGAGAAAGAUAAUAAAACUAUAGACAAUUGAAAAGGUAAUGGCAUGAAGUUUUCCGGACCGUUUAAAUUGCUUUCUGACGUGGGAAUAUAUCACUACAAUUAAAAUAUGCAAAUAAUGACUUUUAGUAAGCAUCAAAGAUGAAAUAACAACAAAGAAAAAACAUACAUAAGUAAAAUUUAGAAUCAAAAUAUCAAACAAUCACACUCUCAGGGCCCAAUUAGAUAUCUCCCAAUCACAUUUACACACCAAAACAAACAAUCAAACAAGAACUCAUUCAAUGAUACAAUGCAUAAAAAUCAAUUUAACGGUAGGCUAAUAUAGGAAUCCGUCAACCAUAACGGCCAAGAGCGACGGAGAAGUCGACAGAAACGCCAAAGAGAAGAAUGGCUAAGCCGGUGAAGUUAAUGAGACGUGACUCAGCGUUUGUGCUCUGACCAAGCAUCGUGGCUCUCUGCAUGAGUCCGGUAAGUGCUGCGACGAUACCCAUAUAAAAUAGAGCCCGACCACCUAAGACGUGCCACGGCAUCAUCCUUGCUCUUGCCCCUGAUGAAGAUUGUGGCGCAAGGAAUGUGAAUGCACCAAGUAGCCACUGUAAAGUUACAUCACCACCACAAAUUUUCAACAAAGCGAUGGUUUAAUUAACGUUAAAAUCCACGUCUAUGAACUGAUAUUAACCUGGAGGCCGAGGAGGAUGAAAGUGGUGAGGCCGAUCCAGGAGUGAAGAGAUACCAUGUCUUUAAGGUUUAGUUUGUCGUGGAAUCUAAAGGCAGCGGAGAUUCCGACAAUACCUAGAACUAAUCCUAUUAAGUGAAGCCCACCGUGAACCAUUUUCUGUACUUGGUGCGAGGCAUAUGCCGUUUUGUACGUCAUCAUCGCUGCACAAUCAUUGUCAAUUAUUGUUUUUAUAAUUAAUUCAUGCAUAAUCACGAAUGUAAUUUUUUUGGAAACCUAAAUCAUUUUAUUGGUUAUAUUAUGUAUAUGCAAGAAAACUACCAUUUUAUCAUAUUUUUUUUUGUUAUUUGUUUAAGUCGUGAUUGAAUUACCUUGGCCGACGAGGAAGAGAAAUCCACAGUACAUGAGAAAUGGGUGCACCUAUAUAUAUCAACCAUUUCCGAACCAAAAAGAGUAAUUAGAAAAAAAUGACAAACUAGUUAAAACAUGACUGAACGGUUUGAAGUAUAUAUUUAUAUACACACAAACUGUAAAGACACAAACUUACAUUUAAAAUCUUAAGGGGAUUGUCCGAGCCAUACUCGAUGCCUUCGCGGUAAUGAAGAAGCCAUAUGAGCAUUAGAACAACGGCUAAUAUGCCAAAGAAGUGAGCCACAAGCGUUGAAAGCGACGAGUGACGCUUAAAAGGUGUUCGAUCUGCUGAGACGUCCAUCUGAUUUUAGUUUGGUUCUCUUGCUAAACACGAUGAUGAGUCAAGCAAUACUGAGAGAGAACAUGACAGAAGGGAAUGUGCUAGAUUGUGUAUUGCGUAUCGGUUCUGUCGGGUACGGAUGAUAUCUUAAAGGGUUAUUUAUACUAAUAUAAUUGAUGUGUGAAAACAACCCAAAACAAUAUAUAAAUAGGACUGCCUUUAAUCAAAAUAUGAAACAUAAAAUCAUACGCAAGUGUUUAAGCCAUAUAUAAAUCUAAUUUAUAAUAUCACCGGAAGACAUUUAUGUUCAUCAAUAUCAUUAGAGCUAGGAACAUUCUUGGUUAUUCUUGGCCCCUAAACUAAAUAUGUCUCGCCGGCCUUGAAGGACAUGAUUCACUUGCUUCUAUUCAGUCCCAUCCCUAGUUCCGGGUUAGGGGAGAUUAGGUCCAUACCCCAAACUUCCCCUAGUUAAAAACAAAAAUCUAAUAUAUAAGACUUAUACAUGCAUAUUUGUUUUGAUGAACUGAAUCGUUCGGUGACCUAUAACUAAUUAACUAUGACCAAAAACAUAACUUAGCUCGACUUUGUUAUUAGUUUAUGAGUAUCACUUAUUUAUAGAAUUUUAAAAUUAGUAUAACUUGGUCAUGCAAGAUAUUGGUGAACGAAUGAAUUGCUUGCGUAUAAGGGUUUGGAAUAAAAAUGAAUGGGGUUUCUACAACGAAAACAGCUAAGGUUACACACUUUUGGAUUUUUUCGUACGUUUGAUUCUAAUCUCAUCUAUCUAACUCACUUUGGCCCUACCUUCUGUUGCCUUUUUCUAGAACCAACCUUAAUUAUUUGAUGUAAGAAAUUAUUGAUCUUUUAAGUUGUAUAAAGAGAGAGCUCCAAGACGGAAAAUAGAGGAAAGAGAUUGGGUCCAGUUACUACGUCCAAUAAAAGCAAAUAUGUUUAUUCUUAAAAUGUGAGAGAGGUAGGGAAGAGUUAAAAGAUGGAAGAAACAAGGGCUACUGAUACAUUUUUGAGCAUAAUAGUAAAUCUUAUAAAAAUUGCAAAAUAUAUAGAUGGAUUCAAGUUUCAACUAAGGUUGAGGCAAGGCAAUCAUCCGCAACCAAAAUAUAUAAGUCGUUUUUCAGAUAAUAAUGAACAUUUGAUAGUUUAUAUAACUAUACGGCUAAGGAUUGGGCACAAACAAUUAAAGUUAAUUAGGAUAAGAUUAUUGAAUUGAACCAGAAUUUCAGCUGAGUAUUAAUUUGGUUUAGAUAGAUUAAAUUCCAAACUAAAACUUUGUACGACUCCACAUCACCGUCCUUUUUUAUCCAGUCAGUGGGAAGAUGGAGUUUAAAUCACAGGCCUAUAUAUGUGGCUAAUGCGCCAAUCAAGUGGAUAUGUCACAGGCGUUUAGAUUUUUUAGCUAAUAACAGUUUACUCUAACCAGGAAUCUCCAACUAAAAACUAGGACUCAUCCUAUAACUCAAUUUACACGCCGUUAAUCUCUGGUUCGCCGAAACCAGGAAACUUAGAAAUUUCUUUUUGACUCGAGAAAACUUUUGGUCAAUAUAUAGACCGACAUGUAUUUUAUUUUAUAAAAUGUCAAUUUAUGGUCAACUAUCGUGACCAAAUAUAUACUUUGAACGAUUCAAAAGUAUGACUAACCUUGCAAAAUAUCGUUUAAAUGUUUUUUGCGAUUAAAUCUUAAUCCUUUGACCCGAAGUAUGUUUCUUUCAAUGUAUGAUCAGAGAAUUGUAUUAUGAUAGUUUUUCAAUUGAAUUCAGCAUAGUUAUAUCAAAGAGUCCAUGGUCAGACUCUCCCUCUAAUUUAAUUUGUUUUACCUCAUUGUAUUUUUUAUAUUUUUUUUUUUUUGAAAAAGGGCAUUCAUACCUCAUUGUAUUUCGUUUCUUUGAAUAUAUGAUUUAACAUAAUCAUUCAAAUAGCAUAAUUAUAUCAAAGCAUCCAUGGUCAAAUUUAGAUGGAGAAGAUAUUAUUUUUCUCAACAAAUCGAGUAUUUGUCAAUUAAUUAUUUAGAUGACACCUGACCAUAUGAGUUCAUGUACGGAGAAGGAAAACUAAGGAUAAUAUUUUUUGUAAACAAUGAUUAAUAUUUGUUUCAUAGUGACGAUAUGUUAAAUAUUGGGCUUUGAUAUAAUUGUAUGGCCUUUAUAAGCUUUCGAGUAUAAUUUCAAUUCCAAAUGGGUCCUUGACAAGAAGCCUCUUGUAUAUGAAAUCAUAUCACCGGUUUGUUGCCCUCACAACGUCUUUAUAUUGCUACGCGAAUCAGACAUUAUUGGUUACCAUUUACUCGGCUAAUUUUUUGGGUUAAUGCACAAAACCAAAUCUCGGAUCUUAGCCGUUGGACCCAGCAACAAAAUAAUUACCGAUAUGCAUGGGAGGAAAAUAUCGCACGUGAAUAUUUCAUGCACUGAUGCUCAUUGGGAUCUUCCAUUAGCUCACGUGCAUUACUACUCUCACGUUAGCAGAAAACUGUGUUAUUCGCUAAUUUGCUCCCAGCAUACUUGUUGGGAUGAUGACCGUUGUGAGUUCCCAAAGUUAACUUUAAAAACAAACAAAAUGUUAUUUAUGUACCUACCAAACAUAUAGUACUAUACAUAACAAUGAUAUUGUAAAUUGGUUUAUUUAUGCAUGGACCCAUCUCAGCUGACAAACACUUAUAUUCAUCUACAGAGGAGUAUUAACGGCGUCAAUGUUGCCGUAAAUUGCGUUGCAGAGAGUAGUUUAGCUGUGAGACUAUGCCAAGGACCAACGGCUACUUGAUGCUGACUUGAAGUAAAUUUCUAUACGUCAGUACUUACCUAACAAAAUUUAAGCCAGACUUAUACAACGUCAGAGUCACAAGCCGAUCAAAUUACUCAUCAUUCACCGAAUCAUUCCCCGAAAAAAUAUCACCCCCCCCCACCCCCCCAACAUUAUGUGUACUUGUGUAGUGUGUAUCUUUUAUACAAAGACAAAAUUAUGUACUCUACAGUUUGGAAGGUCUAGUUCCCUUAAUUUUAUGCUUGAAUAUAAAACAAUCAAAAGUAUGAGAAAUUUUUUUAUAGUCUUGAAUCUUGAUUAUGAGUAUUUAAGGUGCUCUUACCAAUUAAUCUAGUCGAUUCACUGUUUUUUUAAUAAUCCAGAGGUAUUUGGCAGACCGAGACCCAACCGUCUAGUCAUUGGGAGGUUUGUUUAUCGACACCAAAUAGAUCUGGUUGAUCAUAAUGAAAAUUAGAUAUACAUGUCGUAUGACCACAGAAACGGAUAAAUCUGAAUUUAGUUUGUUUCGUUUUCGAAUAUGGGGUGCUUAUCACCUUUCCAAAUUUCGAUGUACCACUCGACCAAGCUUGUGUGGUUGACUAGCUGGUUUUGAUAGCAUAUGUGUAACUAUAAGUCUAGAAUGUUGGGUUUAAUAGAUUUAACUUUGCAGUAUAUUAUGAAUAUAUGCUUUUGAUACCACCAUAGAUUUAACUUCUAGUUCUUGUAGUUAAACAAAGUUGCAAUUACUUCGCUGCUGAUUCGUACCAUACCGCUUUUCUCAAAACAACCGGCAAUUUUCAGGCAUUAAUUGGCUUUUCUCCGCCGUGUCAAACGUUUACAUCUUGGCCACUGCUCCAUGAUGCUACCGUCAGGUCACAGCUGCGUUUUCAACUAUUUUGGCGAUUGGUUUACGCGAUUCUCCUUCGAUCGCGGAUUGAUUUCUUUAUUAAGGGCAAAUCUUAAAAUAUUCAAUCACUUGGUCAUGUCGGGAAUGUAACGGGACGGCAAAUGGGGAGGCUAAUCAAAUUGGCUUUUUAUUUGUUUUUAUUAUCGUAAAGCGUCGAACCAACUUUUUCACCCAAGUGAUUUAACUUUUUCUUUAAAUGGGACCCCUUUUGUUCUCAAGUGUGACUAUUUCUAUCCAUAAAAAAUAAUAUUGGGCUGUGUUAUGGUAAAUAUAAACGAGAAGUACUCUUGGUUUCUAAUUAUUUUCUGCUUUUUGUUCCCUUCACAAUUUUUAACCCUUUUAACUCCUGUUUUAUCUUAGUAUUUUAUAGAAAAAUUAUAAUUGAUACUAAAAAUGUUGUAAUGAUUGAAACAAAUACUUAUACUACAGUAUUUGUAGUAUUUCAUCUGUAUAAAUUUUCUUUCUUUGCUCUGAAAAUAAAAUAAUUUUGAGGUGUGAGUGAGUCUACCUGUGACUAUUUGUCGGGCGGGACACAUGUGUAAGCACCAAAGCACCUUGUGCUUUAUUGCUAUUUUUUGUCAGCUUCUCUCCGUCUUUUAUAUAUCUUUUGUUCUUUUCUUUAUGAUCUCCUAAAUUUCAACGUGAUUAUAUAGAUUUUUCAAUUAUAUAACUACUAGUUAAAUUGUUAAUCAAAUUUUCUGUGAUUAAAUUGAUCUUGUAAUAAAAAGUGUGCUUAGUUAUUAAGUUGAUUAUACUUGUUUACAUUCAUGUCUCAAGAUUCUUUCAGUCCAAUGUACUACCAAUUUUUUUUUGUUUUCUGUUCUUUUUUUUAGUUGUUGUCAACAUGUACUAUUAAUUCAGUGUACUAAAUUUAAAAGUAAUUAUGAAGUAAGUUGACAUUAUAAUAAAAACUUAAAUUCUUAGAAAUAUGAACCAUUUAUAGCCAGACGUACUCUGCAGUCGAUAUCUUGGUAUGCAUGCUAUUUCUCUCUUUCUCUUUCUCAACACACCUCCAUAGCUCGCUCGUCCUCAACACGCUCAGCUAUCCAUUUAUAUCUAUUCACCCCUUUUCCCCCUCGUAAUACUAUACACAGUUGAAAUUAAUCUUCAAGAAAAUGGGGUUUGUAGCUCGAUUUUUAGUUUUCAUGUCACUCUUUACCGGUUUAGUCUCCGGAUUUGCUCUGCAAAAGCUUCCUCUUAUACAGUUCGACGAAGGUUACACACAUCUAUUCGGUGACCAGAAUAUGAUUGUUAACAGAGACGGAAAAUCUGUCCGGUUAAUACUUGAUGAGAGAACCGGUUUGUCUUCUUGGUCCCUCUUGGGUCUUUUUUGUUUCUGCUUUCUUUUUUAAUUAUUUUUACUUAGUGUUAUGUUGACCUGUAAUCAAUUUGCAGGCUCAGGGUUUGUCUCAAAUGAUAUUUACUUACAUGGGUUCUUCAGUUCUUCUAUCAAAUUGCCAGCAGAUUACUCUGCAGGAGUUGUUAUUGCCUUCUAUGUAAGCAUAAAUCUAAUCUCUAUUUCUUUUACUAAUUAAUUAAACAUAUUUCUUGAAGACUUUGUUUCACUAUUUCAAUGGGAUUAGAUAAGGAAUACAAGGGCUAAAUCUUUUUUUUUUUUGUGUGUGUUUAUGCAUGUUUCUCAUUAUCAGCUGUCAAAUGGGGACAUAUAUGAGAAGAAUCAUGACGAGAUUGAUUUUGAGUUUCUCGGGAACAUCAGAGGCAAAGAAUGGAGGAUUCAGACCAACAUAUAUGGUAACGGAAGCACGCAUUUGGGCAGAGAAGAAAGAUACAAUCUUUGGUUCGACCCAACAGAAGAUUUUCACCAGUACAGUAUCAUGUGGUCUCACUCUCACAUCAUGUAAGUUUAUAAACAAAACCAAUUUUAAUUACUAGUUAAUCAUCCUCUUAAGUCUCUGGUUCAGCUUAGAAAAGUUAACCAAGUCACUUGAUAGUUUUGGGCUUUUAUGAGUCUUUUAAUGAUCUAUCAGACUUUUUAACCGUCGCCUGAUGUUUCUAUUAAAAGAAAGCCAAAUGGGUUUUAUGUGAUGAAUUAAAUUUUUUUGUUUCAUUCAACUUUAUACGUAAAGCUAGUGGAGUUUGGUUUCUUGUUCUGGAAACUUUUGUGCUUUACAGCUUUCGUUCCUGGCAAUAUCAGAGACCUAAACAGAGUAUUUUUGGAAGAGAGAAUCUUAAUCCAGUCCACUAAAAAAAACCUGGAAUCUUGUAACCAAAAAUGUCAUAUUUUUAAGAUAAUUUUCAAAUUAUGAUUCUUAUUUUUUUUAUUUAUGGCAGAUUUUAUGUAGACAAUAUUCCGAUCAGAGAGGUCAAACGUACGGCGUCAAUGGGCGGUGACUUCCCGGCGAAGCCUAUGUCUUCAUACGCAACCAUAUGGGAUGGUUCCAAAUGGGCGACCAACGGUGGCAAGUACGGUGUAAAUUACAAAUUUGCCCCAUAUGUUGCUCAGUUCACCGAUAUGAUCCUCCACGGCUGCGCCGUUGACCCUAUGGAGAAGGUUCUGAGCUGCCAAGACGGAGCCGCAGAGGAUCUCCGGCUAGCGUCGGAGAUAACAGAGUCUCAGAGGAAGAAAAUGGACAGCUUGCGGCGGAAACACAUGACUUAUUCGUAUUGUUAUGACCGUACGAGGUACAAGGUGGCUUUGCCGGAGUGUGUGGUGAACCCGGAGGAGGCUAAGCGUCUUAGGGUCUAUGAUCCGGUAACGUUCGGUGGGAUCCCUCACCGUCACGGUCACGGGAAGCACCGGAGCAAGAGCCGCCAGUCGAUAUGAUUUGGUGGUGUGUUUUAUUUUAGCUAGAGGGGUUCUUUUUGGCAUUUUCUAUCUUGUAUAGGAAUAUGAAUUAUGGACUGAGCGAUGGAUUGACAGUACUGAGAUAUUUUUAUUUACCCCCACUAAAAAUUGUCGUGAAACAUAAUAAUAAAANNNNNNNNNNNNNNNNNNNNNNNNNNNNNNNNNNNNNNNNNNNNNNNNNNNNNNNNNNNNNNNNNNNNNNNNNNNNNNNNNNNNNNNNNNNNNNNNNNNNNNNNNNNNNNNNNNNNNNNNNNNNNNNNNNNNNNNNNNNNNNNNNNNNNNNNNNNNNNNNNNNNNNNNNNNNNNNNNNNNNNNNNNNNNNNNNNNNNNNNNNNNNNNNNNNNNNNNNNNNNNNNNNNNNNNNNNNNNNNNNNNNNNNNNNNNNNNNNNNNNNNNNNNNNNNNNNNNNNNNNNNNNNNNNNNNNNNNNNNNNNNNNNNNNNNNNNNNNNNNNNNNNNNNNNNNNNNNNNNNNNNNNNNNNNNNNNNNNNNNNNNNNNNNNNNNNNNNNNNNNNNNNNNNNNNNNNNNNNNNNNNNNNNNNNNNNNNNNNNNNNNNNNNNNNNNNNNNNNNNNNNNNNNNNNNNNNNNNNNNNNNNNNNNNNNNNNNNNNNNNNNNNNNNNNNNNNNNNNNNNNNNNNNNNNNNNNNNNNNNNNNNNNNNNNNNNNNNNNNNNNNNNNNNNNNNNNNNNNNNNNNNNNNNNNNNNNNNNNNNNNNNNNNNNNNNNNNNNNNNNNNNNNNNNNNNNNNNNNNNNNNNNNNNNNNNNNNNNNNNNNNNNNNNNNNNNNNNNNNNNNNNNNNNNNNNNNNNNNNNNNNNNNNNNNNNNNNNNNNNNNNNNNNNNNNNNNNNNNNNNNNNNNNNNNNNNNNNNNNNNNNNNNNNNNNNNNNNNNNNNNNNNNNNNNNNNNNNNNNNNNNNNNNNNNNNNNNNNNNNNNNNNNNNNNNNNNNNNNNNNNNNNNNNNNNNNNNNNNNNNNNNNNNNNNNNNNNNNNNNNNNNNNNNNNNNNNNNNNNNNNNNNNNNNNNNNNNNNNNNNNNNNNNNNNNNNNNNNNNNNNNNNNNNNNNNNNNNNNNNNNNNNNNNNNNNNNNNNNNNNNNNNNNNNNNNNNNNNNNNNNNNNNNNNNNNNNNNNNNNNNNNNNNNNNNNNNNNNNNNNNNNNNNNNNNNNNNNNNNNNNNNNNNNNNNNNNNNNNNNNNNNNNNNNNNNNNNNNNNNNNNNNNNNNNNNNNNNNNNNNNNNNNNNNNNNNNNNNNNNNNNNNNNNNNNNNNNNNNNNNNNNNNNNNNNNNNNNNNNNNNNNNNNNNNNNNNNNNNNNNNNNNNNNNNNNNNNNNNNNNNAUCAUUCCCCGAAAAAAUAUCACCCCCCCCCACCCCCCCAACAUUAUGUGUACUUGUGUAGUGUGUAUCUUUUAUACAAAGACAAAAUUAUGUACUCUACAGUUUGGAAGGUCUAGUUCCCUUAAUUUUAUGCUUGAAUAUAAAACAAUCAAAAGUAUGAGAAAUUUUUUUAUAGUCUUGAAUCUUGAUUAUGAGUAUUUAAGGUGCUCUUACCAAUUAAUCUAGUCGAUUCACUGUUUUUUUAAUAAUCCAGAGGUAUUUGGCAGACCGAGACCCAACCGUCUAGUCAUUGGGAGGUUUGUUUAUCGACACCAAAUAGAUCUGGUUGAUCAUAAUGAAAAUUAGAUAUACAUGUCGUAUGACCACAGAAACGGAUAAAUCUGAAUUUAGUUUGUUUCGUUUUCGAAUAUGGGGUGCUUAUCACCUUUCCAAAUUUCGAUGUACCACUCGACCAAGCUUGUGUGGUUGACUAGCUGGUUUUGAUAGCAUAUGUGUAACUAUAAGUCUAGAAUGUUGGGUUUAAUAGAUUUAACUUUGCAGUAUAUUAUGAAUAUAUGCUUUUGAUACCACCAUAGAUUUAACUUCUAGUUCUUGUAGUUAAACAAAGUUGCAAUUACUUCGCUGCUGAUUCGUACCAUACCGCUUUUCUCAAAACAACCGGCAAUUUUCAGGCAUUAAUUGGCUUUUCUCCGCCGUGUCAAACGUUUACAUCUUGGCCACUGCUCCAUGAUGCUACCGUCAGGUCACAGCUGCGUUUUCAACUAUUUUGGCGAUUGGUUUACGCGAUUCUCCUUCGAUCGCGGAUUGAUUUCUUUAUUAAGGGCAAAUCUUAAAAUAUUCAAUCACUUGGUCAUGUCGGGAAUGUAACGGGACGGCAAAUGGGGAGGCUAAUCAAAUUGGCUUUUUAUUUGUUUUUAUUAUCGUAAAGCGUCGAACCAACUUUUUCACCCAAGUGAUUUAACUUUUUCUUUAAAUGGGACCCCUUUUGUUCUCAAGUGUGACUAUUUCUAUCCAUAAAAAAUAAUAUUGGGCUGUGUUAUGGUAAAUAUAAACGAGAAGUACUCUUGGUUUCUAAUUAUUUUCUGCUUUUUGUUCCCUUCACAAUUUUUAACCCUUUUAACUCCUGUUUUAUCUUAGUAUUUUAUAGAAAAAUUAUAAUUGAUACUAAAAAUGUUGUAAUGAUUGAAACAAAUACUUAUACUACAGUAUUUGUAGCAUUUCAUCUGUAUAAAUUUUCUUUCUUUGCUCUGAAAAUAAAAUAAUUUUGAGGUGUGAGUGAGUCUACCUGUGACUAUUUGUCGGGCGGGACACAUGUGUAAGCACCAAAGCACCUUGUGCUUUAUUGCUAUUUUUUGUCAGCUUCUCUCCGUCUUUUAUAUAUCUUUUGUUCUUUUCUUUAUGAUCUCCUAAAUUUCAACGUGAUUAUAUAGAUUUUUCAAUUAUAUAACUACUAGUUAAAUUGUUAAUCAAAUUUUCUGUGAUUAAAUUGAUCUUGUAAUAAAAAGUGUGCUUAGUUAUUAAGUUGAUUAUACUUGUUUACAUUCAUGUCUCAAGAUUCUUUCAGUCCAAUGUACUACCAAUUUUUUUUUGUUUUCUGUUCUUUUUUUUAGUUGUUGUCAACAUGUACUAUUAAUUCAGUGUACUAAAUUUAAAAGUAAUUAUGAAGUAAGUUGACAUUAUAAUAAAAACUUAAAUUCUUAGAAAUAUGAACCAUUUAUAGCCAGACGUACUCUGCAGUCGAUAUCUUGGUAUGCAUGCUAUUUCUCUCUUUCUCUUUCUCAACACACCUCCAUAGCUCGCUCGUCCUCAACACGCUCAGCUAUCCAUUUAUAUCUAUUCACCCCUUUUCCCCCUCGUAAUACUAUACACAGUUGAAAUUAAUCUUCAAGAAAAUGGGGUUUGUAGCUCGAUUUUUAGUUUUCAUGUCACUCUUUACCGGUUUAGUCUCCGGAUUUGCUCUGCAAAAGCUUCCUCUUAUACAGUUCGACGAAGGUUACACACAUCUAUUCGGUGACCAGAAUAUGAUUGUUAACAGAGACGGAAAAUCUGUCCGGUUAAUACUUGAUGAGAGAACCGGUUUGUCUUCUUGGUCCCUCUUGGGUCUUUUUUGUUUCUGCUUUCUUUUUUAAUUAUUUUUACUUAGUGUUAUGUUGACCUGUAAUCAAUUUGCAGGCUCAGGGUUUGUCUCAAAUGAUAUUUACUUACAUGGGUUCUUCAGUUCUUCUAUCAAAUUGCCAGCAGAUUACUCUGCAGGAGUUGUUAUUGCCUUCUAUGUAAGCAUAAAUCUAAUCUCUAUUUCUUUUACUAAUUAAUUAAACAUAUUUCUUGAAGACUUUGUUUCACUAUUUCAAUGGGAUUAGAUAAGGAAUACAAGGGCUAAAUCUUUUUUUUUGUGUGUGUUUAUGCAUGUUUCUCAUUAUCAGCUGUCAAAUGGGGACAUAUAUGAGAAGAAUCAUGACGAGAUUGAUUUUGAGUUUCUCGGGAACAUCAGAGGCAAAGAAUGGAGGAUUCAGACCAACAUAUAUGGUAACGGAAGCACGCAUUUGGGCAGAGAAGAAAGAUACAAUCUCUGGUUCGACCCAACAGAAGAUUUUCACCAGUACAGUAUCAUGUGGUCUCACUCUCACAUCAUGUAAGUUUAUAAACAAAACCAAUUUUAAUUACUAGUUAAUCAUCCUCUUAAGUCUCUGGUUCAGCUUAGAAAAGUUAACCAAGUCACUUGAUAGUUUUGGGCUUUUAUGAGUCUUUUAAUGAUCUAUCAGACUUUUUAACCGUCGCCUGAUGUUUCUAUUAAAAGAAAGCCAAAUGGGUUUUAUGUGAUGAAUUAAUUUUUUUUGUUUCAUUCAACUUUAUACGUAAAGCUAGUGGAGUGGAGUUUGGUUUCUUGUUCUGGAAACUUAUGUGCUUUACAGCUUUCGUUCCUGGCAAUAUCAGAGACCUAAACAGAGUAUUUUUGGAAGAGAGAAUCUUAAUCCAGUCCACUAAAAAAAACCUGGAAUCUUGUAACCAAAAAUGUCAUAUUUUUAAGAUAAUUUUCAAAUUAUGAUUCUUAUUUUUUUUAUUUAUGGCAGAUUUUAUGUAGACAAUAUUCCGAUCAGAGAGGUCAAACGUACGGCGUCAAUGGGCGGUGACUUCCCGGCGAAGCCUAUGUCUUCAUACGCAACCAUAUGGGAUGGUUCCAAAUGGGCGACCAACGGUGGCAAGUACGGUGUAAAUUACAAAUUUGCCCCAUAUGUUGCUCAGUUCACCGAUAUGAUCCUCCACGGCUGCGCCGUUGACCCUAUGGAGAAGGUUCUGAGCUGCCAAGACGGAGCCGCAGAGGAUCUCCGGCUAGCGUCGGAGAUAACAGAGUCUCAGAGGAAGAAAAUGGACAGCUUGCGGCGGAAACACAUGACUUAUUCGUAUUGUUAUGACCGUACGAGGUACAAGGUGGCUUUGCCGGAGUGUGUGGUGAACCCGGAGGAGGCUAAGCGUCUUAGGGUCUAUGAUCCGGUAACGUUCGGUGGGAUCCCUCACCGUCACGGUCACGGGAAGCACCGGAGCAAGAGCCGCCAGUCGAUAUGAUUUGGUGGUGUGUUUUAUUUUAGCUAGAGGGGUUCUUUUUGGCAUUUUCUAUCUUGUAUAGGAAUAUGAAUUAUGGACUGAGCGAUGGAUUGACAGUACUGAGAUAUUUUUAUUUACCCCCACUAAAAAUUGUCGUGAAACAUAAUAAUAAAAAUAUUUUGAAUAUUUUAUUUGUCACGAAUAAAUUAAUAGAAUUGUUUAUUUGUAAACUAUAAAUUUAGGAAUACAAUGUCAAACUGAAGAAAGUGGCAAUAAAUAAUCAAACAUGAAUAUUCAUAAAAUUAGCAGAUGGAAUAUAAGAUAUCAAUUUUUGUUUUCAUAAGCUAUUCUCAUUCUUCAUAUGAAUUAUGCAUGUACGUCCUCAUAAUUCUUGGUUUUCAACAAAAAUGAGUACGUUUGUUUUAUCUUGUACAAGUAUUUCAAUGUCUCCAAUAAAUAUUACUGACUUUUUGGUCCUGCCAGCAUACAAUAUUUUAUUAUUGGUUGAAUUGUGGUUAGGUAAAUAAUUAAUGAUGUUUUUGUUUAGAAAAUAUAAGAAAUUAAUGGUUUUCUUAAUCUACGUGCAUAGCUGUAAAACGACUUAUAUUAAAAAACGGAGGGAGUACUAUUUAUCUAGUUUGUGUUUAGGCUUCGGCUCUUACAUGGUGGAUCGGUUCACCAGUGGCAAUAAUCGGAAGAUAUUCAAAUUCAUAUCAAACAAUGUAAUAUGUUUUCGGGUUAAUUCAUUAUGUAGCAGUAAAUGCGUUUUUUUCGGAACCGAGCGGAUAGCUGAUAGGAUUUAUCAGAAACAACAAGUGACGAAAAUUCUUUUUGGGAGUGUGUGUUCAAUUUCAAAGGGACAUAACUUCUAAGCUCCACUAAAGCCUACAAUCUGUCUGUUGCAAGAAAAUAAAACAAAACCUAGAAUCUAUCUUGUAGGCCCAUGUUUGAUCCAUAUGUAAAUCUUAUCAUAACAUAUCGGGUCACUAGGCCCAUUUGAUCGAAGAAAAAUCAAUCUUAAUCAUAAUCAGCAUCUUUAAAAAAGAUGCGGAAUCUCGAUUACGUUCCAACUAUGAUUUGCACAAAACGUACCUUAACUCACUAAUGUGAAUGUAAUCUUUCGAAAUUAUUAUCGACGACCGAAAAUAUUAAUUUCCAAUAAAAUUUUCAUGAAAGAGGAAAAAAUGAGAUUGAGACUCAUUGAGAGAGAUGUGAAGUGAUCUGAGUAAGCCACCAUUUUAGACUCUGUUAAAACGCAUGCGUAUUAACUAGGCUAAACUUACCCCUUCUUGUCCUAAAAACAAAACCUAAGAUCUGUCUCUCGUCUUGCCUUUUACGAAGCUUCCCCUUAACACUUUAUACAUCAUCACUUUUAACUAGAUUACACCUCUUUUAUUUACUCAGCUUCACCAUCACGACGUUAUUCUCGUUUUUUGUCAGAUCUGCUCUGUUUCGCCUCAUAAUAAAAACCUUCACAUUUUAAUGGUCAUUCAUUCUAUAAUUUUUUAAUUUAAUUUAAAAAUCCGAAAUUCAACAACUUUCUUCCUGGGUUUUAUCUGAAUCACGUUAAAGUCGACAUCUUUACACUAUUUAGCUCAUUAUAUUUCCUCUGUUUUCUGCAGAUCUGUUUGAAGUAAAACCUUUGCCUUGCGUUUGAAAGAAUCAAACUUUAUUGUUACCACUUACCACCAAAUGGCAAUGCCACCGGGUAACUGGAUCCCCGACGGGCGAGACGGGUUCAUCUCGUGGAUUCGUGGGGAGUUCGCCGCAGCCAACGCCAUCAUCGACUCCCUCUGCCAACAUCUUGUAGCUGUCGGCGAUCAAAACGAAUACGAAUCCGUUGUCUCGACCAUCCAACACCGUCAAGCGAGCUGGUCUCAAGUUCUUUAUAUGCAGCAGUUCUACUCGAUCGCUGACAUCUCUCACUCUCUGCAUCAAGCUGCUUUGAAGCGGCGGCAACAGGGAAGGCCUCAGCAAAGGCAUUAUUACAGUUCUGAUCAGUUUGGAGGAGGAAGGAGAUCAGGGCCUGGAUUUAACAAGCAUCAUCAUGGUGGUGGUGGUGGUGGUGGUUACAGAGGAGGAGGAGCUGAGUCUAUGGUGAGAAACAAGAGUGAGAUUAAAGUAGCAAGUGAUGAUAAGGCAUUGUCUGUUGCUGAGGAGAAGAUAGGUAAUGUGAAUAGUCUUUUGGUGUUGGCUUAUUAGCUUGCUUGCUUGUAAGAAAAGUAAAGUUUUUUUGGCUGUAUAUUGUGGAACAUGUUAAUAGUGGAAGCUCUAGAUUCUUUGAUUUUUCACUUGAUAUUAGACCUUCAUUGAAAUGUUAUGGUUAUGUGUUGUUACUUUCUUUCAGAUAGCAAUCUCAGUUCUGAGAAAAAACAGGAAGAGAAAGAUAAAGAGUGUCCUGCAAGCAUGGCAAAGACUUUUGUUGUUGAAGAGAUGUAUGAAGCAAAGUUGGUGAGUUGUAUGUUCUUUAAUGUUUGUUUUUACUUUUUUUUUUUUUGGGAAACUGAUUGUUUAUACUUCACACCUACACUGUAUUUCUUAUUUUUUGUUUUUGUUUUUUGUGUUUAAUGUUUGUGAGUUGGUGAGUUGUAUGUUCUUUAAUGUUUGUUUACACUUCACACCUACAAUACUAACUUCUGUAUUUUUUUUGUGUGUGUUUAGGUCAAUGUUGUUGAAGGAUUAAAGCUAUAUGAAAAAAUGGUUGACGUCAGUGAAGUUUCUCAACUGGUAUCUCUUGCAAACAAUCUGAGAAACGCUGGAAGAAGAGGUCAACUCCAAAGUAAGAAUCUUUUUUUAUACACUCUUCUAAUGAUUUGAAUCUCAGGUCUUGAAACCGUUGUUUCAUGAUCAAAAACAGGUGAGGCAUAUGUGAGUUAUAAACGUCCAAAUAGAGGACAUGGACGCGAGAUGAUCCAGCUCGGUCUCCCUAUAGCUGAUACAAUGCCUGAUGAUGAUGAGAGUGCCAAAGUCGAAGGCAAGUUUUGUUAAAUAAAUGUUUUUUUUUUUAACUUUGUAAUAACUGUUUUGGUUAAAACAUGAGUUUUUUUUGAUGCAGAUAGAAGAAUAGAGCCAAUCCCAUCGUUUAUUUCAGACAUCAUUGAACGUUUGGUCUCGAAUCAAAUCAUACCUGUGAAACCAGACGCAUGCAUCAUUGAUUUCUUCAACGAGGUUAGAUUAGUUUUUCUUAACUACUUAAUCUGUUUUUCUUAUAACUAAGUGCAAGUCUUGUUCUGAAACUAUAGGGAGAUCACUCUCAGCCUCAUAUGUUUGUUCCCUGGUUUGGACGACCGGUUGGGAUCUUGUCCUUGUCUGAAUGUGAUUUCACAUUUGGAAGAGUCAUUGUCUCUGACUAUCCGGGAGACUACAUGGGCUCUCUCAAGCUGUCUCUCACUCCAGGGUAUAUAUAACUGGUUCAAGCUUCACUCUCAAGUUUGUUAAGUUUUUGAUCUUUCAAUCCGUUUAUGUUUGAACAGAUCUCUUCUUCUGGUGGAAGGCAACUCCGCAGAUCUUGCCAAGUUUGCUAUUCACUCAAUCCCAAAGAAGAGGAUUCUCAUCACUUUCACCAAAUCUCAGCCGAGAAACUCUAUAGGGGGAACUAACUGGAGUCCACCGCCUAGCAGAUCGCCGCAGAAUCAUCACAACAGUGUUCAGCCGAUAUUCAAAGUACCUUCUCCUCCGCUUGCCUCUCCAAUGCCGUUCCCAGGUGGUGUCUUACCUGUGGGAACGAGCUGGCCACUGCCACCACCUCAGCCAAGAGUGCCUGUCCCUGGCACUGGUGUGUUCCUCCCACCAGGUUCAGCCCAACAACAGGUUGUACUAGGCUCCACAGAGAAAUCCAACGACAGCAAUGGAAACAACUGUGCAGAAGGAAAGAUAUAGAGAGCAGAGAUAGAAACUUGGAGCUGCAGUUUUUAAACUAUAAAAAGAGCAGCUACUGCUAUUAAACGUUAUCUCUUUUUGUUUUGUUUUUUUUUUGUUUGCUACUUCAGAAAAUUGUUUAUUAGGAAAAAAGAGAACGAGCGAAAUUUACAUGUUUUGACGUUUUCUUCUCUCUGAAAUCACUUAGUUAUCAACUUUACAAUCAAGCGUGCUUGUGAACUAUACUUGUCAAUACCGCUCAUCCACAAAAUAGAGUUGUAUCCAUGCCAUUCCUAUAGUGUCCAUCGUUUUCAUCUACAAUAAUCAUAUGUUUGGGCUUAUUGCUGGUUUAGUCCAGUUCCUCUAGUAACUUAGUAAGUGGGCUUCAGACUACUAAUUAUAGCGUAUAUAUAACUGGUUCAAGCUUCACUCUCAAGUUUGUUAAGUUUUUGAUCUUUCAAUCCGUUUAUGUUUGAACAGAUCUCUUCUUCUGGUGGAAGGCAACUCCGCAGAUCUUGCCAAGUUUGCUAUUCACUCAAUCCCAAAGAAGAGGAUUCUCAUCACUUUCACCAAAUCUCAGCCGAGAAACUCUAUAGGGGGAACUAACUGGAGUCCACCGCCUAGCAGAUCGCCGCAGAAUCAUCACAACAGUGUUCAGCCGAUAUUCAAAGUACCUUCUCCUCCGCUUGCCUCUCCAAUGCCGUUCCCAGGUGGUGUCUUACCUGUGGGAACGAGCUGGCCACUGCCACCACCUCAGCCAAGAGUGCCUGUCCCUGGCACUGGUGUGUUCCUCCCACCAGGUUCAGCCCAACAACAGGUUGUACUAGGCUCCACAGAGAAAUCCAACGACAGCAAUGGAAACAACUGUGCAGAAGGAAAGAUAUAGAGAGCAGAGAUAGAAACUUGGAGCUGCAGUUUUUAAACUAUAAAAAGAGCGGCUACUGCUAUUAAACGUUAUCUCUUUUUGUUUUGUUUUUUUUUUGUUUGCUACUUCAGAAAAUUGUUUAUUAGGAAAAAAGAGAACGAGCGAAAUUUACAUGUUUUGACGUUUUCUUCUCUCUGAAAUCACUUAGUUAUCAACUUUACAAUCAAGCGUGCUUGUGAACUAUACUUGUCAAUACCGCUCAUCCACAAAAUAGAGUUGUAUCCAUGCCAUUCCUAUAGUGUCCAUCGUUUUCAUCUACAAUAAUCAUAUGUUUGGGCUUAUUGCUGGUUUAGUCCAGUUCCUCUAGUAACUUAGUAAGUGGGCUUCAGACUACUAAUUAUAGCAUGAUGCAGUCUGCAAGGUUGACUUAUGUGACCCUUGAAUCUCCAUUGAAUCUAUGGUGGUCCUAGACAGUACCCCUACUGUAACAUCAAUCCGGUUAAGAAAGUCUCAAACCGGACGGUACAGAUAGAGACAUGUCUAUUGUCAGUUUCUGGAGUUAGGUCAGCAUUAUCUUUGAGUCAAAAGUUUUGACCAAUUAGCGUUGGGGAUGGGAAUUCUCUAGCUGUAUUCACAAUCACACAUAUCUUGUAUUUACCUAACGAAAAAUUAUUGAAACAGCACUGGGUUUGCUGAUGUAAUUGCCUAAAUCAUUUUAUUCAACAACCUCUUCUUCCGCCUCCUCGAUGCAAUAUAUGACUGACUAUAUACUAUUAGAUCCAUGUGCUGUUUGUGUCUUUACGUUAACAAAACGUAAGCUCUUUUCAGGUUACACGUGUGUUGAUUAGUCUGUGUAUGAUGAAUGGAAAGCAAAUGCUUCCCAAAGAAACUGAAUCAUGUUGUCAGCUACUCAUUGAUCUCAAGGGGAUUCUUCUCGUAAUGAAUUGGCGAUUAGAGAUCUAUAUAUCUAUAACUUGGACCAUGUAAAGUACAACAUGAAUUUGUUUUGCAUGUUUUCUGUUGAUAGAAGUUUUGAUAUUAUUAGGAACGUGAUUCAUUAUUGUUCAAUGUCAUUGGUUUGUAGUCUUCUUAAUGAUCAUUACUUUGUCACUAAUCUUCUUACAAUUGUAUGAAGUAAAAACAAGUGUAAACAGAGAAAUAAGAAUAAAGGAAGUGGAGAGGAGGAGCCAUUUGAGAAAUGAUGCAUAUAUUCAUAUAUACUAUCUUUCUCUAAUCAAACCCCUUCUGCCUUUUGUGAUGAUCACAUUUUAUCCUUUUCUCUUUCCACUAAUAAUUUUUUUUUUCCAGUUCUCAUUUACAUGAUUACAUCUUUAACUUCUUGUAUAAGUUGAAUCUAUAUAAUAUACGAUAUAAUAAGCAAUUAGUAUCCGGACAUGUGGGGUCGACCACACGCCCAUUUUAGUUUUAAAUUAUCUUAACCCUUCAAAACAAAUUAGAGAACACAAUCUUCAUCAUUUCCUUGUUAUUUCUUUAACGCAGAAUCCAUGCAAGUUCUCAAAUGAUAUGUGUCAUUUUUGCGUGUGUGUUUUAUUGAUUUGUGUAAUAAUCAUAUAUAAAAUGCAUAUAACUAACACAUACGCAAAUUGAAAUUAUAUUCAUGAACCAAGUAUUACUAAGUAUUUUUUUAAUCGCACAUCCGAAAAAUAAUUAAAGUUCAGCGAGCCAUAGGAAAUAAAAACAAACGUGUUCCUAGAAUAAAAUAUGUUUAGAUUUUAACAACCUCCAUGGAACAGGAGACAAACACAAUCUUUUUUAUGACUACUCCAUUGUCAAUCUUGUUUUUUUGACUAAAAACUCCAUUGUUUUCUAAAACCCUUUGUAAUACUUCCUUGUUUUUCCUUUUUUGCCUUGGAAGUGUUGUAUUUAGGAUUACAACUUUGUAAGUUCCUUUUUUCAUAUUAUAUGAUAUUAACGUUUUAGCAAAAAAAAAACUCCAUUGUUGAUCUUUAUAUAUUGUUUGUUUAUCAUUGAUGCGCCAAGACAAUAUUAUUGUACAACUUUGCAUGAAAUUUAAUAAUUCAUAUAUGGAGUGGUUAGAAUUUAAACUAUCGGCUAAUAAUUCAUUGUUUACCAGUACUGGUCGCCUUUUUUGCUGUUAACCAAAAUGAUUUUGACUUCUUUUUUUAUAUCAGCACCCACCUAAAUUUAUUAGAAAUUGACUUCUCUGUACACUGAUCUUGUUAUGUUUGUAUGUUUAUGGUCAAGUAUGGGUUAAGAUACACACAUAAAAAUCAGAAUAUAAAUAAAUAGUGUCAUAAUAAUUGCAUAUUUGAUUAGUAGUUGCGGAGCGCAAUAAUGAAAGGUUUGGAUAGGAUUCUAACUUUGUGCCGAUUUAAUAAAGAGAAUAAGAUUUUCAACUUCUUAAUGGAAACUAGUGGAGUGGUGUGACAUUGGCCACCACCACAUCCUCCUUUUGAUUAGGCCACUUUGGCGUAUUUUUCUUGUAAAAAAAACAUUACAACUUUACAUUAAUGCAAAGCUCCAUACACCCAAAAAAAAAGAAGAAUUUAUGUUUGCAAGUGCUUUAACUUUUUCUUCUCAUGAUAAAAGCUUCAUUGCAAUGUCGGUAUUAGUCUAUUCAUUGCAAUUGUUUUGCUUAGAAAAUCAACUAGUUUAUAAUUUAUACCACUUUAAUCAUAUGAUGCAUAUACUAACUUAAUAGUUAAUACAUAUUGGUUGGUUGGUCCACGACUGGCAUAUUCUAGUAACAGCUCAAAUCAUACAACGUAUGCAUAUUAUACACUAUGAUGACACUAUACACUAGGGUAAUGUAAUGCAUAUUAUAUACUUCGAAUACAACAUCUCAUUAAAGAAGCCAAAUCUCAUUCCUUUUUUCCUAAUUGGCUCCCCUUUUUUAUAUUUUUUCAUGUAACAUAACAGGAUAUUAAAUAACAUUUUAAGUAACGGCCAAAAAAUUAACAUUUAUGUAAUAUGACAAAAAGAAGCUCGGUUUUUUUUUCUCAUUAAAGGAAAAAAACUUCUUUCUUUAUACAUUCUUCAACAUAACCUCUUCUCUCUUUUCUUGCAACUUUAGCUCGGAAUUCUAUGCUUCGCUGAUCAAUCUUUCUCCUCUCUGCAAAAGUAAUGAGAAAAGCAUUUUUCUAUGUUAAGAGCUUCAGAUCUGAUACUUGUUAACUCUGCUGACUAGUGUUGUUUCUUUGAUUUUUUCAAGCAGACAUUGUUCUCACAAGCUCUGCUCUCUCUGUUCUGGUUCAAGAUUCUAACUUUUGAGAGAAAAGUAAGCGAGAUAGAGAAGCAAAACUCGGUGAAAUGCUUGAGAUUGGAAGCCCCACGAGUCUCUGUUUCCGUACAAACACUACUUGUAAUGCUCUGCUUCAAGAGCUUCAGGUCUCUUCUUCAACCUUUCUCCUCUGUUUCUUGAUAACGGUCACUAUAGGACAAAGUCUUCUCCUUUUUUAGGCUUAAGGGUUUACUGUGAACUUUAUCUCUCGUUUUUGGAUUUGGGUUUUUUUGUGUAGUAUUCAAAUUAUAGGAUAAAGUCUUCACCUUUUCUUCUACAUUUAGGGUUCUUGAAAACGAUGCUUCACAGAACAACUCUGUUUUUUUCUUUCUAUAGAAUAAUAAAGUCUUCUCCUUUUUUAGUUUAAGAGUUACUGUGAACUUGGUCUCUCGUUCUAGAAUUUGGGGGUUUUUGUGUAGUAUUCAAAUUACAUGAUAAAGUCUUCACCUUUUUUCUUCUACAUGUCUCUGUAAGAACUCUGUUUUUGAUGGGUUUAAUGGUAAAUUUUGUUUUUUGUUUUUGGGUAUGGAGCAGAAGAUAUGGGUUGAUAUUGGUGAGAGUGACGCUGAGAAAGACAGGAUGCUAAUGGAGUUGGAGAAGGAGUGUCUAGAAAUCUACAGAAGAAAAGUAGAUGAAGCUGCAAACUCCAAGGCACAGCUUCAUCAAUCACUUGUAUCAAUUGAAGCUGAGAUUGCUUCUAUAAUGGCUGCUCUUGGUGUCUUAAACAUCCACUCACCGGUAUGUGCAAGUCUUAUGACUACUAUCUUGGAAACAAAAGGGAAAGUUUUGAUCUUUUUUAAAUUUUGGUUAUUGCAGAUUAAAGAGAAAGGUUCAAAAUCAUUGAAAGAGAAGCUUGCUUAUGUGAGGCCUCUGCUUGAGGAAUUGAGGUUGCAAAAAGAUGAAAGAGUGAAGCAGUUUGUGGAUGUUAAGGCGCAGAUUGAGAGGAUGAGCGGUGAAAUCUCUGGUUACAGUGCCAUGAUUGGUUCUUUGACUCUUGAUGAUGAUCAAGACUUGACUCUUAGGAAGCUUAACGAGUAUCAAACACAUCUCCGCUCUCUCCAGAAGGAGAAGGUGGGAAGAUUUGUUUAUCAUGAAUGCAUAAGAAGAUGGAUGAAAUACUCAUUUGUUCUUUGUUUUUAUUUGCAGGCGGAUCGUUUAAACAAGGUGUUGGAUUAUGUGAAUGAGGUUCACUGUCUAUGCGGUGUUCUUGGAGUUGACUUUUGUCAGACUGUUAGUGAGGUUCACCCGAGCUUACAUAGGACUAACCACGAGCAGUCUACAAACAUUAGCGAUGAGACGUUGGAUGGUUUACAGCACAUGAUUGAAAAGCUGAAAACUGAGAGGAGACUCCGUUUUCAAAAGGUUAGAUAGGUUAAAAUGUCUGCAAUAAUGGUUAUGAUUAGGAUUUUAACCUUUUUGUGUUGCAGUUGAAGGAUGUGGUGGAGUCACUUUUGGAGCUAUGGAAUCUAAUGGACACACCUCAAGAAGAGAGAAUGAGAUUUGCAAGAGUCAGUUGUGUUGUGAGAUCAUCUGAAUCUGAUGUCACUGAGCCAAACAUCCUUUCUACUGAAACAAUUGAACAGGUUACUACUACAAACUUUAAAUGUCAUUAAUCUCAUUCAAGAUCUCUGAGUUUGUGUAUUUGCCUUCUACGUUAUUAGGUUUCUGCAGAAGUAGACCGUUUCAACAAGCUGAAAUCUAGUAGAAUGAAGGAGCUUGUGAUGAAAAGAAGGUCUGAGUUGGAGGAUCUUUGCAGAAUGGCUCACAUUGAACCUGACACAAGCACAUCUCUUGAGAAAUCAACUGCACUGAUUGAUUCUGGUAAAAAGUUAACAAGAGUUUUAUGUUAUUAUCCUCACAACUGGUUCUCUUGCUGAUGAUCCUGACGUUUCUUCAGGGUUAGUGGACCCUUCAGAGCUUCUUGCUAACAUCGAAGCGCAGAUAAACAGAAUCAAAGAAGAGGCACAUAGCCGGAAAGAGAUUAUUGAUAGGAUUGACCGUUGGCUAUCUGCUUGUGAAGAGGAGAACUGGCUAGAAGAAUACAACCAGGUAAGAAAACUUUUCUUGAAACUCUGGUUUGUUGAAGGGUGUAACUGAGUUAUAGUACCUUGUUUGGUUUCAGGAUGAGAACCGCUACAGCGCUGGAAGAGGAGGACAUGUGAACCUAAAGCAUGCAGAAAGAGCUCGUGUUACUGUAAACAAGAUUCCAUGUAUGUUUUUCUUGUCUCUUGUCCACUACAUUCACAUGAGAUCUUUUUAGCUUAUGUUUAUUGUUUUUCUGAAGCAAUGGUUGACAAUCUCAUCAAGAAAACGCUUUUAUGGGAGGAUCAAACAGAGAAGUCAUUUCUAUACGAUGGUGUAAGUAAAAAGUAAACAUUAACGCAGAUACAUUCUUAGAUUUUGAAAGUUCACUCCUUUGACUAUGGUUACUUGUUUUCCUACAGGUUCGAUUGGUAUCCAUACUUGAAGAUUACAAACUGACAAGGAAGCAACAGGAAGAGGAAAAGAAACGUUACAGGGUUUGUCAUAAUGCUCUCUUUAAAGGUUUGUAAUAUGGCUUGCAUGUGUUAAAACGAGCUUGUUAUUUCCUUUGCAGGAUCAGAAGAAGAUGCAGGAUCUGUUACUAAACCGGGGGGAGUCCAUUUAUGGAUCAAAACCGAGUCCAAGAAGAAGCACCAGCAUAAGAAAGGCUAAUGGUUACAGUGGGAAUGUAUCUAUGCCUCCUACGCCGCGCAGAAACUCAGCAGGAGCAGCAAACAGCGAGAUUAUGAUGACGCCAAGAUCUUACUCGGGUCAUCAUGGCCAAAAUGGUUAUUUCAAGGAAGUGAGGAAACUCUCAACAGCUCCUUUGAACUUUGUGGCUAUACCAAAGGAAGAUUCUGCUUCUACAUACACUUACUCUGAACCAGAUUCGCCGUUACAUAACUGAGUGUCUGUUUGAAGCAGUUAACGGAGUAGGAGUUGGGAGGUUAGAGAUGAAUGUGAUCAGAAGGAGGUGUAAUUUGUUGACAUAUUAAUGACCGUUAUGUGUGUGUGUGUGUGUGUGUGACACUUUGAGUUGACUUUUUGUGACUGACUUUAGGAUAUUAAUAGUAGAAGAGUAGAAACUGAUGGAUGUUAUGUUCUUAUUGCUUCAAGAUUGUCUUUUCUUUUUGGUGUGUUGGUGAAUUUGUGUAAUGUGUGUGUGUGUAUAUGGUGCUCUUUGUUUGCUCACCAGAUGCAGGUAUUGAGAGAUAUUGUUUGUUUGAUUACAGAGCAAUGGUCAUCUUCUUCUCUUGGUUUUGACUAUGUAGUGGUUUCCCUUCUGUUUGAGGUUUGUCAGAGACUUUUCAAUUUGAAAAAUCACUCAACGAGCUUUCUCCAAAAAGCUCUUAUCGGUAUUGAAAUGCCCAAUAACAAUAUAUAGUCCUUCUGGGCCCAUAGACGAGUUGAGAUGUUCUUUUUUGUAGAUUACUUUCUUUUUAGUCAACUAAUAUGGGUUUACGAAUAUUAUAUAAUUUAUUUGUAUUAUUUUCUAAAAGGAACUAUUACAAGUUUUAUUGACUUUGAUUACGUCAUUAUAAUUUUUAGUAACAAAAUCUCAAAAUAAAGAGACAAAUUCAGUGUUGAGUUAUUUCCGUAACCAAUUGUCUUUUCAUUAUUCGAUUACAAAAUUUUUAAAUUAGAUAUGCAGUAAUAAUUCGUUGUGAAAACAAAUAAUUAUGUAUUUUUGUUCAAAAAAGCAAAGACAUGUAUUUAUAGUCCACGGUGCAUUUCAACUACUUAAAAAUUAUUUUCGCAUAAUAUUCUGAUUGGUUAGCAGUAGUGGCCACAAAUUAAGCGUCAGCUAGUUGUCUUGUCAAAACUCAAAACCCACCGACGUAAAAGUAGGAUUAAUAAAGACAAUUAAGGAGUGAAGCCAGUACUAAUUAAGGACAUCAUUAAAUAAAAAUACACGCAAUAAACCCCUAGUAAUAGUAACAAGAUUAUUGCAUUAAAAAUAAGAAGAACAUUAAGGAUGACAAGAAGAAUAACAUUAGGAGUGAAAAUGAAAUGGAACUAGAAUUAUGCUACUUUUAACUAAGGAUUUAGUUAAUGAUUAGUGAUAAAACUUUUUGUUAUUGUUAACCCAAGUCUUGAAAAGAUAACGAGUAACACCAAUCCUUUCGCAGAAGACACUUAUCUCUUCUCUAACCGCUCUCUUAUCCUUCAACGUCCAUCCUAGCUUCGCCGCGUAAUCUCUCAUCGCCUCUCUUUGCUCCGCCGUGAAUUUCGACUUCCUCCGACGCUUCACCGUCACCCUCUCUUCCGUAGAAGUCUCCUCCGUGUCCUCCUCCUCCUGCUCUUCUUGCUCUUCUCUGUCCUCCGCAGCUGCUUUCCAUUUCAGCCUCGCCAGCUGUUUCACGCGCCUCAAGCUCGUGAAAGGGAACCGCGCGCGAGUAACUUGACCAGAAGGUUGUACUUCAAUGCGACGGUGGUAGCUCCGGUGGCAACCACAGGCGGCGCAGAGAUCUCCCGUGGCUGGUUGAGAGUACUCGCGGCAGCCGUCGACGGCGUAAGAGCCGAGCUUGGCCGCGUGGUUGCGCAUGCAUUCUCUGUAGAGACAAGAACUCUGCAUCUCUUGUUUUUCUUUCUCUCUAAUAGUUGUUUUUGAGAGUUUUGAGUAAAUAAAACUUGGUUUUAGGCUUUGGUUUGGGUUAAGAUAUGAUAUGCUGUGUGUGUGUCAGAAAGUAGGAGUUGGGAGUUACAAAAAGGCAAAAAUUACUGCCUUAAGAUUUUGUACUUACAUGUUUAUUAGGUGUCAUAAUAAAUGUGAAACCUCUACUUUUUGAACUGUUUUACUGGCUUUUGCUUUUUUCUUACGUCCAAUAAUUUUCAAAAUUGAUUUCAUAUCUUAACUUAAGCUCAUAGAGUUGUCAUUUACCCAUAAUUAUUGUUCAGAAACCGGUUGUAGCCAAGUUUUAGCUAGUGUGGUGAAAUGGUUUUGAUAGCUUCUAACAAAUAAGUAAGAGAUUAGAGAAACCAGUAGUAACCAAAAAAUGUAGUAGACUUUUUUUUUUUUUGUAAAACAAAAUGAAGUAGACUUGUUGACAAAAAAUAGUUGUAUUAAUAAAUUAAAGUAUCUUUUCAUUUUUGGCAUCUAAAGAAAAAUACCUAUAGACAAAUCUAUAAACUGUUUUGUAGUAAUAAGAUUUAUUAAUUUUAAACUAAACCAAUCAAGAAAAUAUUAAUUUAUUAGUAAUGAAUAAUAUCAUGAGUUUGGAUUGUAUGAGCAACUGAGUGGGUCACAUGUAUUCUAAAUAUGAUAACCAGAAUAUUUAUAGUUUAAAUAAAAAAAUAUUGUAAACACUAGUCACAUGUUUUCUAAAUACAUUGAGAAACAAAAAUUUCAACUAAAUGCUAAUAGUCACAGUAUUGAUACUUCAAAAAGCAAAGAUGAGUUGAUCUUAACCACUCAGAUUUCAUUUGUAAGGAAAAGAGUCCGAAAAGCUUUCUUUUUCUUAGAUGAUUAGCAAAACCGGUUAUGGAUUUUCAAGCAAUUGUGUGACCCACAAGUUGAAUAUCUUGGCCGCAUGUUUAUUGCAUCUACUUUUCAUUUGUGUAAUUAGCAAACUAAGUGGUUAGUUUACAGUUAAAUGAUAACAAUCACAUCCUAUAGAGACAAUCUAAUCAAAUAUAAAAAAAAAUUCAUAAACAGACGUCUCUCUCUCUGUUAUCUUUUCUCUGUCUUAAACUCCCACCCUAAUUUCAAACCACACGUAUUACCUUAGUACUUGGUAGCAUUAGAUUUCAAACCACUUGCAUUCCUUACUACUCUGUUUGUCUCUAAUCAUGUUUAUUCUCUGUAUUAGUAAUUAAAUUUGGAUUCUUAAGGAGAACAAAUUCAACGACUAGUACAAAUUAUUGCACGAUCAGUGGUAAUCUGAGAAAUAAAAAACAUUUAAUUGAAAAGAAUUAUCUGUUACAACUUACUAUUACAAGUCAGUGAAAUGUUUAUAACGAAAACAGAAGGAAGGAAAAAAAUACAAAAAAAAAAAGAAGAAGAAUUCAAACUUCCCUGCAGAUUUUCUAAGUCGCUUUCUUCCUCUCAGACAAACAAACAAACAGACCUCCAACAAAAAAGUAAAGCAAAGUAACGAUAACUAAUCAUCUGAUGGUGACGAACUUGUUAGUCCCAUGUCUUGCCCAAUGGCUCUUAAGAUCAAUCGGGCUCCCAAAGUUAAACCCAUCAGAAGCAAGUUUCUCAAGCACCUUCUUAAACGCGCCUUGACUCAUCUUCCUCCCCGAGAUCCUCGCCCCACGCCGCUUAGUACUCAUCGGCAACGGAUGCAUCGAUAUGUUCGUGGUGCAACACGCAGAUUGCCACCCUCCACACCCCCAACGGUAGCAUUGCUGAGGAGCUCCAGUGCAGGUACAGACCGGUACGGGUAAACCGGAAAUGUCCAUGUUCACUCCGUUGAUAACCAGGUCGAAGCUUUUCUUAGCCGGUUUGACUCGCGAAACGUUAGCGUUGUUGCUGUCACCGUUCUCCUCUUUCGGUUUCCGAGGCUUCUUCGACUUUGUUGGGGCCCCACCAGCUUUCGAAUUAGGCUUUCUCUUCUUGGUCUCGAUAAUGUCCGGUUCGCAUUUAACCGGGUGUUCCUCGGUUUGAUGAUGGUGAUGGUGGAGAUUCAUGUGCAUCGAUGGGGAUGAGGAAGUUUGGGGGAGGACAUUUCCGUAAUUAGGAGUGGUUGUGACGGGUAACAUGUUGAAGAACUUGUCUUUGUGUUGGUUAAUCCAAUUGUAGCUCAUGUGAGGCUCAGGGUGGUGGUGCUGGUGGUGGUAUGAACCGGUUUGGCCGAUCAUUAGAUUAGGAUCUCGACCGGGUAGAAACGGUUUAGUGUUCCGAUCAAUGGUUGGCAUUAGCUGCAAACCGAGGUUACCUUUGAACGAUGUAGCAGCCGCUGGUUCGUAGUAACCCCAAUUGCGAAACCCAUCAUCAUCCAUCGCAAAGAUCUACAAAAAAAAAAGUUUCAAAUAAAAUAAAAAACAGAUUCAGAUCCAAAUUCAGACAGAACAUAAAGCUCAGUUUCUUUCCUGUUCGUGUCGGAAUGCAGCAGAGCAAAAUUAACAUUUCUUAUACCAAUAGGUAAAAAACGUAUCAGAUCUUGUGGAAACUAACAUGCAGAUACAAAAUAGAGAUUAUAGAUCUGGAGAGUCCAGAGCUAGAUCUAAGGAAACUAGACAUGGAUCGAGUAUUUCAACAGCCAAAAUCUAAUGAAACUGUAUAUAUAUAUAAAGAAAAAGAGAGGGGGCAACAGUACACAGAAAGGUCCCAUUGUAAAUUCAAAGGAGAGAGAGACAUGAUAGUAGAUGGUAAUGGAUUAGGAGAGAGAAAACUUACAUGAGAGAGAUUUGGUUAAACAACAAGCGGGUUUCUUUAAGGGAAUUUUUUUUUCCCUUCUGGAGAGAGAGGAGAGAGAAACCUGAGAGAGAGAUUGGGGAAAGAGAUUGUAAGAGAGAGGAGAGAGAUGAUAUGAUAAGGAGAAGGGGAAAAAAAAAAAAGAGAUCUGAAGAAAGGGAAAGGGUUUUUAUUUUUGAGUGGAACAGAAGAGAACCCUAAAAUUGAAACAUUUUCUAAUUAAAAAUUAUUAUCUGUUUCUAAAAUAAAUAUCCUAAAAGGCUUCUUUCAGACUAUUUUUAUGUUUGGUCUGUGAAGGAACAUAAAAGAUAAGGAAAGCCAUUUGAGAAGAAGACAAAAAAACCAAAGCCCACGCACAUUAAAGUCUUUCCUUACACAUCUUUUCAUUACCAAUUUUUUAAAAGGCAACGAGAUCAUUUGAUUAAAGGAGAUUACGAUGGGUAGAGGACAUACAAUCUCAUUUGCAGAGAGAAAAGGAAGGCCUUCAUCCCGAGACAGGUAAUUUAAAUAAUUUAUUUUUUACUCCAAACUUUUUCAGAAAUCUGAUAACAUAUUAUAUUCACAGAUUAACAACCUCGAAAAUAUCGACCCAGCGAUGAUACAAGCCAAUAAAGAAGAGACUAACACAUAGGUUUACCCCACCUACGCCAGGUACAAAACUUUUAAUUUAAUAGCAAUACCACAAUAUUCAACUAAACGUUUGCUGACUAACUAUUCUUAUCCAAUUUCAGGUCCUUUCUUUCUCAUGACCCUCAAAACAAUCGGAUCUGCAAAGACUUAAUCUGCUUCCUACAUUAUCUAUUUUACUUACAGCUUUUUUGGCUUUUAAGCAUUUGCGUAAACUCGAUCUCAAGCAAAAAUAAUGACUACCAACACACUUUUUUGUGUUCAAACAAACAAUACCUACAUCUAAUAUAAUAUUUUGGAUAAAGAAUUUCUUAGAAAAUAACCCGGGCGUAGCCCGGGAACUGACCUAGUUUUUUUAAAAGGCAAUGAGAUCAUUUGAUUAAAGGAGAUUACGAUGGGAGAGGAGACUAUACAUUUAUUGAAUGAAUAUUAUUCUUACUAUAAUCUUUUGUUACAUAUGGGUCGUGGAUAUAACAUGUUUACUAUUUAUAAAAAAAAACAUUUCCAAUUCUAGUUGUGUAGAGCACGAACAUUUUGGUAAUAGAUAUACUUUCUAUGUUCUGUGUUUCCAAACUGAGACAGACCCUUUUAAAAACUAUCGAGUUGCAUCUGUUUCAUUCCCAUAUUCUAUACACUUGCAUCGAUCAUAGUCAGAGCUUGUCCCUCACAACAUUCUAUUCAAUCAGAUUCAAAUUCAAAUAAACAUAAACUGUAAAAUGGUUUCAUCACUACCUGAGAUUAUCCAUCCAUAGAUCCUCAUCAUUCUUAGGCCGCUUUCUCUUUUCUCUUCUUGGACGUAAGAUUCCUACGCAACUCUUUUUUCAGCUCUCUGUUUUGCUCCCUCACACGUUCCACUUCUUGCUCCGCUCUAUCCAGCUUGAAGGUGAGAAACUUUCUUUCGUUGUGCAUCUCUGUCACCAAUGAAACCAAAGACGCAGCCUUUUGCAUUGACGGUUUCUGAUCCCAUUUGCUCAACUUAGUCUCGUCUUCACUAACGAUCGUUGCCAAAACUGAAUCAACUAAAGAUUCAUGCUUCUUAAUUACAGAAUACACGUGUCUCAGUUCUUGAUUUUUUUCUUGAACCCGACAAGCUGCUUCCCUGGCCCUUUCUUCUUAUUCUUCAGAGCCUGCGCGUUGAUACUCGCCUCAGAUCUAACGAGGUCGAUGACUUGAUCUUUCUCCUUCAAUCUUGAAACCGAAGACAUGUACUGUUCAUGUAGACGAAGCUGAGACCCUUGAGCCGCGAAGAGUUUCUUCUGGAGAGCAUCCAUGGUGAUCGGAAUCUCUAAAGAGUGAUUGGUCGUCUCCACGUCUCGCGGGAGAUCCACUGUUGCUUGAUCCAAAAGAAAUCUCAAACUCUAGGGUUCAAAACUGAAGAGGUUCUAUUUAUUCUAUGAACUUUUUUGUGAUUGGGCCGAAAUAUAAAAGCCCAUAUGCCACUGUGCACACAGAGCAAGAGACUCUUAAGAGAUCAAAACACACAACAACGAGUUGAUAAGUGUUCUGACAUUUGAUUAGAUAUACAAUGAAGCAGUGUUGAUCAUCUUUUACAAUCUGUAAAAUAUACUAUAUAGAAGAAGAGAGACUCACACCUAAAGAAACCUCUUAAUGAAAAGAAGAGAUGCUUCUUUAGACUAUAAUCAAACAAUGUAUUGUGUCUCUCUAUUCGUUCUAACAACCUAUGUCUUUGUCUUUCUUUAUUCUAGCAAAAUUCUUAAGGAGGCAGAAGAAGAAACUAGUGUAAGAAGAUAGACUUCUUACUCGCAUUUGAUCGAUCGAUUAUGAUAUUUGCAUGUUGACACACCAAUAUUUGUUUACUCACUAAUUGAAAAUAGGUUUGGCAGAAUAAUUUGGCCCAAAAGAAAGGUUUGGCAGAAUAUUAAAUUGUCCCACCUGUGAGUUAAGUGUAAUUAUCUUUGCAAAGUGCUUAAUAAUUUUCUCUAAUAAUCGUUUAUAACUGUUUAAUUGUUUUAGAUGUUACAAAAUAAAUUUAGGAAAGCUAACCAAAAAAAAAAAAAAUUUGUAGGGACGAUGAAGAAUGACCGUUGAUGUUAUAUGAUAAAGAAAAAUAUCCAACUUGCUGCAGUUCAAAUUAAUCGUUAUGAAUCCAAAUUACCCAUAAUCAAGAUUCAAGUCAUUUAAAUUAUACUUAAAUUAAUUACUUUGCAUUAAACAAUCUAAAACAUUCAUCAAUACAACACGGUGCAACGUUUUAUACGGCAUGAUUACUGCAAGCUGGUUUUAUAUCUGAGAAAAAGACCAAAAUAGCACUAAAUCAAGUUUUUGUUCCCAAAUUAGCACUUAAGGCCAAAAGUCACAAAAAUAGUAUUCAAGGAGUGGGGUUUAGGGUUUAGAAUUUAGGGUUUAGGGUUUAGAGUUUAGGUUUUAGGGUUUAGAGUUGAGAAGUGAAGUUUUGGGGAUAAGAUUUCAAAUUUUGAAAAAUAAAAAAAAAAAAAAAUUUCAAAAGAUAAAAUGUUAUUUUGAUCAUUUUAGUUUUUGAGUGUUUUUUUGUGAUAUAAACUUAGAAAGAUGUUAUUUUGAAGAUUUGCCUUUUCGAUUUUGUAAGGAACCAGUGAGAAGUUACAACAUUUCUACCUUUCUAAUGGAUCCAUUAUCUGGAGUUGAACUUUCCUAAAGUAUGUGGUUUGAGCUACUUGUUUGUGUAUUAAGACCUUGCUCUUGAUUGUCUACAUCAUUUGUUAGAAAUGUUUUGGACAAAUGGUUCUGCUUGCUGGCCCUCUGGAGUUUUGAUCUCUUUUGAAGGUAUGCAUUUGUUUUGGAUAUGCAUACCGUGACCAAUGACUAUCCACUAAGCUGUAAUUAUGUUAUGCUCAUGUACCCCACUUUUCCAUAUAACUGGGGUUGGGAAACAUUUCUGUUGCUUAGAGCACUUUUAGUCUUUUGUUUUGAUUAUUUUAUAUAUGAGUAGUUUCUCAAUUAGAUUUUAGAAUUUUCAAAAAGAUUUCAACGUUAGACGUGGACGUUGAUUUAGGGAAUUAUCAAUUGAUUUCAUAAACUAUGUUGAUUUUAUUAUUGGAACUUGACUCACAAGUAUCAGCAAAUGUAUGUGCAUAUGAUUGCAAUUGAAAGUGCGAUGAUUGCAAUUGCAUAUGCUAAAAAGUUUUCUUCCAAAGCAUUCAAAGUCUUCAAGUUUUCCAACACAUAAUCUAGAAAUUUCCUUCAUCAAAAUCUUUUUUCUCUCCAUAAACAAAUAAAUUUAUCAGAAAACUUUCAUAAAUCAAAUCAACAUUAGAAACUAAGUGGGAAUAAUUGAAAAAAAAAGGAAAAAAAAGAAACCAUUAUAACCUCAUGAAGUGACUUCACGUUAGGAAGAGGAAGUUUUGUGACUUUCUUUUUUCCCAACAUUUUUGUUUCUUUAAAAAAGAACACCAAACUAUAGAAACAUUAUUUUACACCACUAGGAUUUUGAUCUUGCCUCUAAUACUGAUGUGAGUAUAUAGAAGAAUUAUUAUUGACUCUCAUGGAAAAUAGAUUACAAUAUGCAUAGAUUUAUAUAGAAAUGAAUAAACUUAAUUUCCUAAACUAAUAGUAUGAAAUAAUACAUUAUAGAUAAUGAUAAUUAAGUUUUCUAUUCUAAAAUAUUGAUAUACAUCCUUAAUUUUACCAUUGAUUUUGGGCUGAUCUUCUAAAUCUCUCACUAAAAUGACGAGUAAUCAUGUUAAACUUUGCUGCCAAUCAUCUAAACUCUUAUGUUUACCAUCAUGGUGAUGGGGAAUAGCUCUGACUGGAGUGGAGUUUCAUAAUCAAAUUCCUUGCUCAAAACUAGUCUGGAGCGUACGAAUUAUUCUAUCAUGUUCAGGCUUAAGAGUGAGCUAGGAUUUCUGUAAUUUUGACAGUGAUGACUUUGGGAAUAUAUCAUAAUCUUGAAAGUUGAGAAGGUCGGACUGUUAGAAGGGAAAGAUGGUUCUCAUCUUCAAGAUGAUGCACAUGUACUGUUACCCACCAAUUCUAGAUUAUAUUGUUCCAUGUUCUAUGCUAUAUGCUCUAUCUUUUGUCUCUUAGACUAUAAGAACUCCCGAGAAAUCCUCCUUCACUGAAACUUCCAACUGUAAAACGAUCUGAUUGCCACCAAUCGUUUAGUGAGAGCUCUCUGAGCAAUAUUAGCCUAAGAGUUUGGCCAUGAACGAGUUCAUCAAACCUUCCGUGGCGGCUCAAGAUUUAAGUAUUCUUGUCAGAAUCAGAGGAGACUUAGUUUCAGAACCUACACUUUUGUCCGUAAAUCUACAACCAUUGGUAAAAGUUCAUAAUCUAUAUAUAUAUAUAUAUAAAAAUUGAAAUUUAGGCUUAAUUAGGAUAAGGGAAAAUAAAACCAAUAAUAACAAAACUAAAACCAGGUCGUUCUCUAAGCAAAACGCGUUAACUUGGUACCAAAGAAAGAAAGUCCUGACCACUUCAAACUCUAAACAGUACUAACACUUUCAAAAACUAAACCUAUAUUAUUCCCUUAUAUGCAACAAAUUUAAAUCCAAAAUAUGUCAAUGUACAAAUAAAAAUGAAUUUCCAUGAAACGAAGAACGAGCCAACAACGCGUCUUGAGAUUUUCCACGCGGUCUUGUAUUGUCUCUCCAACGCUUCACCUAUAUAGACACAAGUCGGCAGUUCCAGCUUGCAGACAGAUCAUCAGCUCCAAUACUAAAGUAACUAAAACAAACCAAACCGGAAAAAACCAAGCAAGAAAGAAAAAAAAUGGGUGCAAGAGAAGCUACUAGUCUAGUCCCAAGGAGAGGAGAAGUCUUUAGAAGAGUUCUGAGAGCUGCUUUCUUUACUUGUCUUUGUUUCUCUUCCCGGAAAACUAGCCAGUCUCGUCUCCGAUCAUCUUCUGCUGUCACACAUUCUCUUGAUGUCAUCAAGCACUAGGAUCAAAUAAAUAAAAAACAAAUAAGAACGAAACCCAACUCUCUUAUUCAGUUUUUUAUUUGAACUUGUUAGCCAAGAGUCAAAGACCCAUUUGAUACAAGAUGGGUUCAGACUUCAGAGUCAUCCAGAGGGCGUUUUACAAUGUUGUAAUAGUUCAUGAAUAAGCCAUUCUAGUGUUUAUUUUUGUGUGGUCGUAAAUCUCAAAAUAGAAAGUAUAAGUGUCUGCUCUUUUUUCAUAUUGUUUCAGAGAUUUAUCAUCUAUCAUUGUAACGUUGUUCAAUAAAGUCUAACGUUUUUGAGUGACUAAAGUGAAACAAGAAAAAUUAGUACCAUGGUUAAAGCAAGAGCAUAUGAUUCUGAGAGCUUUCUGGCAAAUCAACGCUAUGUGGUGUGUGUGAUUUCAUUAGUCUUUGGUAUCCAUUGUUUCAAACGCAAUUUAUGCAAAUAUUAUGAAAAAAAAAUAUUCGCAUCUUCUAAAUGAAAAAAAACAUUUUUCAGUUACCGUUUAAAACUUCAAAUGUUUUUGUAAACGUAAGAAAUGCGAAUGCGAAUGGGAGGUUUUAUCCGAUAAACUUUAUCCCAAGGACUUGAAACAGAGACAUGACGUAGUUCUGCCUACCAAACUAGUACAAACAAACAAGAAAACCUAUAAUUAAACUUUAAAUCCUAAAAGGUUCUCAAUGUUUCAGCUAUCUAUAUUCUAAUUGUGUACCUGCGACAAUGAUGAGCCCGUAGAGAAAGAAAAAAAGCAAAACAGCAUCCUCUUAAAGUACCUACAGAGAAGGCACAAUAAACUUAACCAUAGUAAGAAAAAAACAUGAUCCAGGCAAAGACAAAACAAAAGAUCACAUAGUAAAAGAGAGGUUUUUCUUAAGACUACAGAGCCAAAACGUUGCCUAGAACUAGCUGCAAAUCCAAAACAAACUUAAGUCAGUAACAACCUUUCUUCUUCACAGGCUCAGGAGUUUAUAGAGGCUAAGGAGGAACCCUAAAUUGAGCCUGAAGGUAAGGUAGGGUUUUGCAUCAUCAUCAUCUCCUUCAUCCUCAGAAGCAGUUGAAGAUUUGUACCAUCUGUAUCUGUAGCCUGAGUUGAUUUUGAGCACGGUAUAAGGCGUGAUAAGGAUCUGAGUUGCUCGGAAAGAAAGAGAUCAUACUUCAGAGUUCGUCUUGAGAUAAUGAUUAAUGAGAGAGAAAACGAUAGAUAAGAAACACCGUACCUGAGCCGGUAAGGAACAGCUCCGCCGCGAGAACAGUCGUUAUUGACUUUUCUGAGGGAAAGCCGUUUUGAGAUUGGGCUUUUAACUGUGGUCCACUGUAAUUGUUUAGGCCCAUUUACCGACAAGGCGAAGGGAAAAACAGAAAAUCCACAAGCCUACAUUUGAUAUAAGCCAAUACCAAACCUAUAGAUAUUAGGCGGCCUAUGUUUAACCAGACCUUAACAAAACGUCUUGCUCAAAAAUGUGUAUUUAAUCAGAUCAUGAUUAACAAGACUUAAAGAUUUAAAAUGUGUAAUCCAAUGUUCAAGGUGAAAAUUGUUACUCUAAACGGGUUUCUAAAUACAUUGCUAGUAACAUUUCACACGUUUGAUUUUGAAAUUCAUCUGUUUCAUCAUAAAUUAGUGAAACUUACAAAGCUUUUUAUAUUGUCCUGUUGAUUUACACUGACACUGUAAACUUUUAUUAUUACAAAUAUUUGGAGAAAGAUGAACAUGCAAACUACUAUUGUUUUUUCAUCAUUGUUAAUUUUAGCUACUUGUCUGCCUAAAUGGACCCAACCCACUAAGGUCAAAAGCUAGGUUGGUCCUUUGUAGAGGAAAAACAAUGGUGAUGACCAGUAAAUUUGCAACUAAUGUUCCAUUUAGUUUCAGCUAUCCUAAGAAAUAGAGCAUUAAAUUAUACUAUUACUAUUACUAAUCCACGUCAUUUACCACCUGAAUAUGUGUUUAUUUUUUUCGCACAUGCUAAACACUUCCUGUUACGACUGCUAGAGGGGGGAAACAGCUUUUUUUUUUCUUUUUUUUUUCUUUUUUUUUGCCGUAUAAACUCAUGCCGACAAACGUCACAUUACAUAAACAUGACCUCAUGUAUCUGACUGUGUGCAAAUCCAGCUGGGCCUACGACAUAUCGGGCCCAUGAAGACACUGAUAUCAUAAAAUAGUUAAAAGGUUGAUUUGGUUUCAUUUUAACAUUUUUGCAUAAUAUCUGAAUUAAAAGGGUAAUUCAAAUUCAAAUUUCCAUAAACAAACCCAUUUACGGAAACCCUUAAUCCAAUGAUCUUAAAUUCAUUAAUGUUUCUACGCCAAAAGAUUUGAGUUUCGAAUCAUAUAGACACUGAAAUUAUGCAAAUUCAUAGACAAAAUGUUUACAAGAGAUUUGUAUCAUGCCGCAAAUAGUACCGUCAAGUGUGAGUUUCAUAGGACAAUUUAGGUGAUUCAGUUAGACGUGGAUCUUCAUAAAUAAUUAUACGUAUAAUCGUCCUGCAUAGUUUGUAAUAACAUAAUUAUCCAUGUUAAAAAAUGAUUUAUUGUGUAUCUCACUAUAUGUUUAUUUUUAGAUUCUUGAUAUACUAGUUUAAUAAAAACCAUCAAAUUUAUACAGAUUUAAAAUUUGUUGGUCAAUAAGUAUAACAUUUCUUUUAGUUCAGAAUUUACCUAUGCCAUGUUGUACUUACUAUAUGGUAAACCUACUCAAAUAUUUAACAUGGUAAGAAAGUUUUUUAAAAAUCGUUACAACCACCUACGAAAAUUUCAUGAUAAUGUACUACAUUUUCUCAUUCUCUUUUCAGUUGUUGUUUACUUGCUUUUCAGCACAUUCUUCCCUUUUUGCUUUUUAUUCUUUAUUAUUUAUUCUUCUUCACGCUUCGUUUAUUUAUUUUAUUUUUUUUUUUGAAAAUUGCUUCGUUUAUUUAUUUGCUAGUCUCUACUGAAUGUUUAUUUAAGAACAAAGGGGUUCCUAAGGGGAAAAGCGUAAAGAACAAAAAGUACGAACAUGCAAGAACAUAAUAAACCAAAACGAUAUUCUUUGUGAUUCAAAUUUUUGGUUGAUAAGUUCCUAAAUGAUACUUUAUACUAAAAUCUGCAAUUAUUCAAAUAAACAAAUACUGAAAAAGAAAAAUCUAAUUCGAUUAUUGAAAACAUCUUUUUCUUUAUAAAUAAAACAGGUUUAACAUGUCUUUUAUUCUUGUCACGUCAUCUCGAGUACACACUAUAACGACCCAGUCUAAUUACAUAUUUACAUGUCUCACCCCUUAGUUCUUAUUAUGGUAAUUGUACCCUUCCCUAAUGUGUGUAUCUUCGUGAAAGCAACCACGGCUUUGCCUGAGAGACCCGGUCCAUGAGCAGAAAGACACGGACGGCAGGCAAAGGCUCCAACGGGAUGCCGAACUGGCCGAGCCGAUGGCAUGAGAAUCCUCUUAUUUAUGUCAUUUAGGGUUACAUCUUCUUCUCGACCACCUGGUUUCACCACUCCAAAUGGAUACACCACUCUCUUCUUCUUGUCAUAGAGAUUUUCCUCUGUAACACAUGUGUUAGAUUAGUAUAUAUAUAAAAAUUAACACAAAGAUAUUAUAGUAUUAAUGUAUACAGCUUACAGCUAAAUAUAAACUUAAAUCCGACUAACGCAAACAAGAAAAACAAUCUGAUUUCAUAUGCAUGCUACCAUAAUUUCGGAAGGAAAUAAAGCAUACGUACUUGAAUUGGACGUAGAUGGCUCGAAGGAGUGUUUCGAGUGAUUUGAGGCCUCUGAACAAAUAUUGAUGGAUGAAUGUGGAGAUUCAUCUGCUCAAUAUAUAAGAAAUUUCAUUCAUGAAGAUUAUGAACGAUCACAAAUAAAGUAAUAUUAAUAUUAAUAUAUAUUAAAUAUAAAUAAUUAAUAUAUAUAUAUAUAGUAUAUCGGUGACAAUAAUAAAGUAGGUCUCACCUGCAAACUGACUACUCGUGCAACUAUAAGUCUCAGACAUACCCCAAUUAUUCUGCACAAUUAUAUUUUUAUAAGUUUAAGAAAAUUAUUGAACAACUACGUAAAUGACUACCGAAAAAACGAAGUAAUUAUGUAAACCUGGUGAUUAUCAAAGUGGUUAGUUGGUUUGUCCUCGGCGUUGAACGAAAGACGUCUCCGUUUGCUUUUCACACUGAAUUCGAUGAGUGCGUCUUCGAGAUAGCCGGUGGAAACGGCGCCGAUAAUAUCCUCCUCCGGCGAAUGUAAUAUAUGCUCCGGCGAUCCAUCAAUGUGGCCACAUGAAUCUACAAAUACAUUGCACAGCCAAAUAUGUCGCAUCAUUAUAUGAAUCCCUUGAAUUAUCAGUACAAUACAUUCACAUUUCAACAAAAAGAAUGCACUAUCGUCUGCUUGAAGCCACCCUCGUUUAUAUAUCAACAAACUCAGCAUAAAUCAUGUCUAUAAAAAUGCAUGUACGCGUACAUUUAGAUUUAUGUGUGCGUUUAUACCUAAACUGAAGUUUUGGUUGAAGAAUGAUCCAAGGUUAUGGAGAUCCCAAGUGGGGAGAGAGUAGAAAAGCUCACUCAUUGUUUUUUUUUUCUAAUAUAGUUGAUUGAUUGUGAGUGUGUUGAAUUAGGGGGCUAUCCUGUGGCUGCCUAUUUAUCUUGAUGGGUUGUGAAUAAAAAGGUGAAAAUUAAAUAAAAUGAAUAAAACGACGUGGUGGGAAAAAAAGAGAAAAGUAAAAGCACUGAAGAAAUUUAGAAGAAAUCAAAUUUAGUACUCAACACGGUCAACUCUAAAGAAAAGACAAAUAACAAUAAUUGUUGGAUAGUGUGUCAUGAAGAUUAAUAUCAGCCAAAAUAAUAUAAUAUUAUAGUUUAUUCGUGAGAUGGUGAAACUAUCAUUUUGCUAUACUGUUUCCCAUUAACCGCAUUGUUUUAAGAAUUUACAAUCAUCAAAAUCAACAAGUAAAAAGCAUUAAAAAUGAAGUCUAUUAAUUGUGUUCAAAAAAAAAAAUGAAGUCUAUUUUUCCAAACAAAAAAAGUGAGUCUAUUUUCAAAAAAAUGAAGUCUACGUAGUCUACCAUGUUAUUUUGUUGUAAUUUAAUAUAAACCCCACUGUUAGUGUUAUGGGGUAAUAAUAGUAACGGUUGUAUUACGUCCUUAUCACUCAUUCGUUGUUAUGAAACGAAUGAUAUAAAAUAAUUUCAUUUGACCAAAAAGACAUUUCAUAGACUACAAAACCAAAAUAUCACAGACGUACAUAUAUGCAUGCUGAAAACAACUAGACAAGUAAGUGUGCUUUUAGAUAUGUACAGGUGUAUAAUUUGUAGAGACUGAUCAUUUGGUCCAAAAGUAUGUUUACUAGAGUGAAUACUGAACAAUGUGGUAUGUAUUUACCUUUCCAUGCAAUAUGUAUACCACAUUUAAGCAGGAUUAAAUUGUCAUAAUGGUAAUGCUUAUAUAAAUUACCAUGUUUUCCAGAAACUACCAUGUUGUAAACGCUUUGGUCAGUAUAUCAGAUUGCCUUUAACAAAAAAGUAUAUUAAAUUGAAUCAUUGAAACUAUGAUGCAUAUGGUUUGCAUAGUGUACGAAAUGAACUAUAUGCAGGGUCACUAAAAAAAUCGACAUUGACCAAUGUACAAAACAAAAAUGGAAAACGAUGGACAUUAACGUUUUGAAAUUUGAGUGGGGUUAGGUAAAUGGGGGACUGAAUAAUGGCUAAAGGUGAUAAUACUAUCAUCAUGAUGUCUAUGUUCUAUUGCUGCUCGUGCAUGUUACUCAUGGAAGAGAGAGAACGAUGAUCUAUAACUUGAUUUCUUAGUCCUGUUACGUACUAGACUAUUAGUACGAUUAACAAAGUAAUGAGAAGCUAUUUUAUUUUUGGUUUGUACACAUACAAUGAGAUAGCAUCUAUAAUAUAUUUAUGAUGGGUUCAGAAUGCGAAAGCAACUUAUCGCUAAAUGAAAAUAUUGUCCUUGAACUCGGCUUUUAAGUUUGAAUAGACGGAUAUAUAGACAUAUAAAUUUGCUACAUGGUAAAAUUAAAGAUAAUGGGUUCGACAAUAUCAUAAAACGAAAGAGGUGAAAAGGAUAAAAAAUAUCAAGGCUAUACCCUUAAUUAUAUAAUUAACUUUGGUUCCAAAUACCAUAAUUGAAUGUGUGUUACGUGAAAUGUUCACAUUCUAAAGAAAUAAUGUAAUUUGUAAAUACAGUGAAAAGCCAUUAAUAUAUAUAUAUAUAUAAAUGUACCAGGAAAUGAAGUAAAGAAAGAUGGUUUAUCAAGAUCAUGCAUGCGGAGUUGUUGACCCAAAAAAAAUACACAUGAGAGGAUUUCAAAUUUGCAGCUUUAACUUUGUAUUUUGUAUGUAUAUUCUUCAAAUUUGCAGAAAAAAAACAACUGUCCAUCGUCGCUCUCUCCUCGCGUGAAGACACCGAAGACCUAAAUCCUCUAGCUCCGGCCCGGUGUUUGCCGGUGUCAGAGGCACCCCUCCAUUCUCUUUUCUCCUUUUUCCUUUGCUUCUCAUGCUUUCAUGCUUCCAUGGAGUUGAUAUGCAGGCUGCUCUGAGUUAUUGGGUUCUUUAACAUGAGCUCGAUUCGGUGAGCGACGGUGACAGAUCCUGGUGUUCUUUGGAGUAGUGGCGAGACUUACAGUGGGGCUAUCGCUAGGGGAGUCGGCUUUUAGGGCUAAAGCUUCGUCAGAUCUGAUUUUUCGUUUUUAAGAUCUUUGAUGAUAGCUUCUCGACAACGGCGCGUGACAUUGACAGACGCCUCCUCCACCAUCGAUCUAGCUUCCCCUGCGGCGGUGAGAUCAUUGGAGGAGAGGAUUAGUGGCCGGUGGAAAAGAGGUUUGCUUCUACGGUUCUCGGAGGCAACACGCCGGAAGGUUUCACGAGGAUGGAGUAGUCAAAGUGAACUUUGUUGCAGGUGCGUGGUGGAGCCAUACAUCCCAUCGUCGGAGUGGAAUCUUUUGGUUCACCGGUGGUUUGUGCUCCACACCUUUGAAGCUGGGAAUUCGUUUAUCCUGUCCGUUUGAGGUGUCAAGGUCCACAUUUUAUCUACUCGGUGAUGUGUUUGGGAUGGGUUGUUCUCAUUAUGGUGCAAAAGGGCAGUGUUGUUUCAGCGGGUUGUGCUUUGACUCAUUCAGUUGCAAAAUUAUCUUCCAGUUGUAGUGGCUACAUUGAUCUUUCGUCGCUUACGUGUGCUAGUGUUUAUCAUGGUUAUGGGUUUUGAGCGACGAAGCUUGGUUGUGUGGAGGUUUUGGUGGACUUCUAUCUAGGUGCAAAAUGGACGUCAGAGAGUGGUUCUACUUGAGUGAUCCGAGUUCUAGACUGGUCUUUAAUCGAACUUGAAUAAUUGUUUGGCUCACACUUGUUUAACACCCGAUCAAACCACCUUAGGCUAGCAUUUUAGUUAUCUGAAUACUUUAAUUAAUCUUAUUACUUGCUUGUUACGAAAUCUUAAUCUCAAAACCCCAUCAUUGUUUUAGCUAAGUAUUGAUCCCAUAAGGAUAAAGUGUAAUUGUUGGUCUCUGUGGAUUCGAUCCUAAAGUGCUACAUCGACAUACCAUUCGAUUGUGGUAGUGUGCACAUUAGGUUAUUUGGUGUGCGUAUACAUGUAAUAUCAAAUUGGCGCCGUUGCCGGGGACCAUCUUUUUACCUUUAUUUUUCGGUUAUUUAUUUAGUCUAAGACCUCUAACUUGCCUUAUCCUUUUUGUUGCAGCUAAUGUUCCAGGUGCAUGACCAGUAGACAUACUCGGAGAAACGCACAAGGAGAGUUAGUUACAUUUACCAACCAGGAGCUAGCAAGGUUAGAAAGAACAAAUCGUCAACAGCCAAGGCAAACCGACACCACUAUGGGUGAUCACGCCAAUCAGGAUGAUCUCGCUGCGGCUAUGGCACUCAUGCAGCAGCAGAUGCAACAAAUGCAGCAGACCAUCCAGGCUCAGCAGGAUGCUGCUGAACAGGCUGCUCUCGCGCAGCAGGAACAACAGGCGCAGACUGUUCCAAUCGGGCAGAGAAACCUUCCGCGUAACAUCCCUACUACGCGCUCUGCCAUUGUUCCUCCACUCUGCACCAGGCAGGACUUCGAGAUCAAGCCUGCUUUGAUUGGUCUAGUACAGAGAAAGGUGUUCUCUGGUCUCUCUACAGAAAUUCCAAUGGAGCAUAUUGAGAGCUUCGAAAAAGUCUGCAGUUUCACUCGCGUGAAUGGUGUUCCACCAGACUACAUCACGUGCAUGUUAUUCCCAUUCUCUCUUGAUGGAAAAGCUGCACGGUGGUUGAACUCUCUCCCUACCGGCUCUCUCACUUCAUGGGAACAGGUCCGAUCAGCGUUCCUCAGCCAUUUCUACUCUAAGGCGAGAACAGCUGCAUUGAGGAACAAGAUCACCUCCUUCAGACAGCUCACUGAUGAGCUUUUCUGCGACGCAUGGGAGCGCUUCAAUGACUAUCGCAGAGAAUGUCCUCACCAUGGAUUUGAUGAUGAUUAUAUCCUGGACAUUUUCUAUGAUGGAGUGGACUGGAAAUACCAAGGUGCUCUAAACUCUGCGAGCAAUGGAGACUUCAUGACUCAAACCACUGCUGGAGCGUUUAAGCUGAUUGAGAACAUGGCUGCUAGCUCAGCUAAUAAGAAAGAGGAGAGUGAUUGCUCCAAGAAAGGGAACAGUUCUGACGCCCAGAAAAUAGAUGAGCUGACUGCCAAGGUUGAUCAGCUACUGAAAAACAACCAAGGGCACGUCUUCAGCAUGGAACAACCUACGGCCGGGCAUAUUCAGAACCAGAACCAGCGACAACCGCAGAGCAAUCCGCAUGCUGUUCCAGCUACCGGGAACAGUCAACCAGAUGAGCUGAAGGGUCUGGGUAUGAUGAUGCAACAGCUGUUGCAGGGUCAGCAGGUUCAGGCCAAGGCGUUGAAUCAGGUAACCACGGAAAUAGACACCAGGAUGGGCAACAUGUUCACUGAGCUGAAUAACAAGUAUGACAAUCUUGCGAUCCAUAUAAGAAAGAUCGAUGUUCAGCUUGCUCAAACAGUUGAGAGUGUCAAGAGGCAACAAGAGACGCUUCCUGGAAAAACUGAUAAAAAUCCUAGGACUGAGCACUGUAAUGCAAUAGAGCAGCCGUUCGCUGAGACUGCUCCAGGCGCAGAAGAGAGAGUAGAGCAGUCUACUAGCUCUGGAGUGACUGCUCCUAGCGAACCUGCUGAGACUCCACCAUCUCGAGUCUAUGUUCCCAAGGUUCCCUAUCCAAUUCCACCUAGACAUCUGAUGGAUCCCAUUAGUGAAGAGCAGUUGAUUGGUUUUAACAAGAUGGUGAGAAGGCUUCCUAAAGAACUUGCAUUCGAAGAUGCUCUGCAGAUUCGUCCACUGCUCUAGUUCUUUAAAUACUGUAGAGAGACUCAAGAGGAGAUCAAGGUCCUCUAUACCAAAGCACUGUCUACACCAGCACUGAAGGUAUUGCCUAAGGUUGAUGAUCCUGGAAAGUUUGUUUUCCCAUGUUCCAUCGCAGGAACAACCUUCAAGGAUGCUCUUUGUGACUCUGGUUCUUGUGUGAAUCUCGUCUCAAAGGCUAUUGUAGACGAUUUGGGUAUUGCUGAUGUUGAGCGUUCUCAGCUGACCCUGACCUUUGCAAACUCUUCCAGAGCAGUCCCAUAUGGAACCAUCCGCAGCCUUCAUGUUCAAGUAGGGGAAUGCAUUGUUCCUGCUGAGUUUCAAGUUGUUGAGAUGAACAAGGAUCAUGAGAUGCCUUUAAUAUUUGGAAGGACAUUCAUGGCUACUGUUGGAGCAACCAUCGAUAUGCCCAACAAGAGAGUCUGCUUCUCCAACAUCAACAAGAAAGUUUUCUACAAGGCUGUACCCACCAGAUCUUCCUCAUCACACGCCUCUCGCAUCUCAGUGUUUGAUGUAGAAAAGCUGAAGGUUGUUCCAGAGAAGGAGCAUGGUGAUAAGGGUGAGAGCAGGCUGUUCUCUGAUGAAGAUCCUAGCACUGAUCCUACUAAAUUCAGAGGGAAUUCAAGGGUGAAACAGAAAGUCCAGAAGAAAAGGUGUCUGGGUCCGAGAUGAUUUUCAAAAAUCUGUUGUAGAAUUUUGAGAUUAAUUAUAUACUAAUACAGUAAUACUCUGUUUAAACAAAUUUUCUUUUGGUGGGGAUAGAUUUCAACCAAGGUUUUCUUACAUUAUAUAUACAUACAACAUAUACGACAAUAUACGACAAGGACUAUCCUUUUUUUUAAAACAAGGAGAUUCGAUAUAUAUAUAUUUUUUUUGAAAAAACUAGCCGACUAGAUAUUUGCUUUUCUUUUUAGAAAAAAAAACAAGGAGAUUUCAUUUUUUAAAAACUAGCCGACUAGAUAUUUCCUUUUCUUUUGAAUAAAUUUUCCUUUUCCGACUGAGAAAAAGACAUUUGUAAUUCCAUAGCCCACUGGGCUGAAAACGAUGAUACCCGCUUCGUUUUACAAACCCAAAUCUCAAAUCAAAAUUUUCAUUUUUCUUUUUGUUAGCAUCAGUCAAUAAAAAUAAUAAUAAUAAAAAAAGAGUUUCAAUAAGCCCUAGGAAGCAAAUCUCGUUGGUGUGUGUGUCUGUAUGUCACUGCUCUUCCUCACGAGAGCCAAGCCGUUAUCUCCUUCUCGCUAUCUCUCCACCUUCCUCUCUCCGGCGCCUACCAAUCUUCUACGUCGCUCCUUUCACGGCUCCGCAACAAUGGUAAGGAGGAUAAGCUCAUCCUCGCCUGAUUCUCGAAUUGUUUAUAAGUCUUGAGAAUCCAAUUUGUUUUUGUUUUUUUCUGAAUUCGCAGUCUGAAGCAGAGAAGAAGAUCCUCACUGAAGAGGAGCUUGAGCGCAAGAAGAAGAAGGAUGACAAGGUUUGACUUCUUUUUCUUCAAUUUCUCAUAAAAUGCUCAAUCGGCGUAGAGAUUGGAUAGUGAUGCAAUGUUCUGAGAGUGAUAAACUAUGGCUUGAUGAUCAUUCGAAAAAUUGAAUUUGAUGAGAAGAUAGAUAGAUAGAAUGUGUUUGUUUUCUUUAGAUAGGAAAGUUUGAUCAAUCAUCUUUGCUAUAUCAAGAAUCAAAGUGUUCUACACUAAUAGUCUUGACUCUUGAAUACUUCUCUUAAUUGUUUAUAUCUAUUGCUUAUGACUACAGCACUUUACUUUAAAAGUGAUUUUUAAACAACGUUUUAUAGGCUAAAGAAAAGGAGUUGAAGAAGCUCAAAGCUUUGGAGAAAGCGAAGCUUGCAGAAUUAAAGGUAGUUUCUAAAGGAACUCCAGUUAUGCAUCUCGGGUGAAAUCCACAUCCUUAGUUUUUUUUUUGUUUAAAUCAUGGUGUAGGCGAAACAGGCGAAAGAUGGAACCAGUGCCCCUAAAAAGAGCGCAAAGAAGAGUUCCAAACGAGACGCGUCAGAUGAGAAUCCUGCGGAUUUUGUGGACCCUGAAACUCCUCUUGGUGAUAAGAAAAGGCUCUCAUCUCAGAUGGCUAAACAGUACAGUCCUGCUGCCGUUGAGAAAUCGUAAGUGUGUAUAGAUUUGAGGCGUGGUGUUCAUUUAUUCUGUAAAAGUUUCUCUCUACAUAACCUCUGUGUUAUUCUGUGAUUUGGUCAGAUGGUAUGCUUGGUGGGAGAAAUCUGACCUUUUUAAGGCGGAUGCUAAGAGUUCCAAGCCGCCCUUUGUUAUUGUAAGACCAUACUCGAUUCUUGAAUCCAUGUUCAUUCUGGAUUAUACCUUUCUUUUAAUUGUAUUCUCUAGCUUUAAUUGUCCCUAAUUGAUUCUGCAGGUUCUUCCUCCUCCAAAUGUGACUGGAGCCUUGCAUAUUGGCCAUGCCCUAACAUCUGCCAUUGAGGUUUCAUUUGCACUAAUAUAUUGGUGCUAUUUCUCAGUCAAAUGCUUCUCCUGAUGAUCAACGGAUUGAAUUUUUUUGAUGCAGGAUACGAUUAUUCGUUGGAAGAGAAUGUCUGGGUAUAAUGCUUUAUGGGUGCCCGGGAUGGACCAUGCUGGUAUAGCUACACAGGUUCGCCAUUUACAUCGUUGUUCUCUCCCUAUCAUUUCCGUAUUAGAAAAAUUCAGUCUACAGUGUAAAACUCCAUGUUUGGCAUGGUUGUAGAAUAUUUUAUUUUGCACAUUGGUUGAUGCUAUUUAUUUGGAUGUACAUUCUAGGUUGUGGUUGAAAAGAAGCUCAUGCGUGAAAGAGGAUUGACUAGGCAUGACGUUGGCCGCGAAGAAUUCGUAAAUGAAGUAAGUUGAAAAUAAAUACACGCUCAUGAAUCGUUUUCCAUUUUGCAUUGCUUAAAAAUUUAUUUGUGGCUCAUUUUUGAUCAUGGAAAAGGUGGAUCAUGGAAAAGGUAUGGAAGUGGAAGAACCAACAUGGUGGCACGAUUCUGACACAGCUUCGGCGUCUAGGAGCUUCUCUUGAUUGGUCUCGUGAGGUAAAAUUCAAUGACCGGACCUUUCUCGGACAAGUGUUAUGGAAAAUUGGCAAUGUUUAGUUUGUUUAGCCACUUGGUGAACUUAUAUGUAAAUGGACCUUUUAUCGUCACCUGUAUCUGUGGCUAUUUAUAUAACAGAUCUGUUUACGCUUGUAUUUUGUAGUGUUUUACAAUGGACGAACAAAGAUCAAAAGCUGUUACUGAGGGCUUUGUACGGUUAUACAAGGAAGGGCUUAUCUACAGGUAUGUAAAAAUCCUUAGAAACAGGAAUAUACAAAAAAAGAAAGGAAAUGUGCUCUUUUUACCUUUUCAGUUAACUGGUUAAAAGAAAGCACAAUUAACUGAAACAUAUACCAUGGCUUACGCAGGGACAUUAGGCUUGUUAAUUGGGAUUGUGUUUUGAGAACAGCCGUAUCUGACGUUGAGGUAAGUCAACAAUUGUUAGACUAUGAUUAUUAGAUGGCAUCCUUUUUAUGCGGAGUGUGUCUAUGUAGGUGGAGCAUAUCGAUAUCAAAGAAAAAACGCUACUAAAUGUUCCUGGCUAUGAUAAGCCAGUAGAAUUUGGUCUUCUUACGUCAUUUGCUUACCCUCUGGAGGGAGGCUUGGGAGAGGUUGUUGUUGCCACUACAAGGGUGGAAACAAUGCUUGGGGAUACUGCCAUUGCUAUUCAUCCCGAUGAUGCAAGAUACAAGCAUCUUCAUGGGAAAUUUGCUGUGCACCCAUUUAAUGGACGGAAAAUACCAAUCAUCUGUGAUGGAAUACUUGUUGAUCCAAACUUUGGUACUGGCUGUGUUAAGGUACAUGCUCUUAUAUUUUUGUAUAUGUUUCUGCCCCUAUUAGUUGAUUUUUCUUGUAUCAAAGUAUUUUUAUUCUUCUUUUGUAGAUUACUCCUGCCCAUGACCCCAAUGAUUGUGAGGUCGGAAAGCGUCACAAUCUUGAAUUUAUAAACAUAUUAACUGAUGAUGGAAAAAUCAACACAAAUGGCGGGUCUGACUUCACAGGGAUGCCACGCUUUGCAGCGCGUGAGGCAGUCCUUGAAGCUCUGAACAAGAAGGUAAUUCAUUAGUACUUCACGUAAACAUAUCAUAGCAACUUGAUUAUUCUUCGUUUGAGGAGAUAUUGUUUGUACAGAGAUAGAUGUACCUUAACUUUUUCGUUAAUAUAAUUUUAUAUGUUCCAGGGGCUUUACAGAGGUGCCCAAAACAAUGAAAUGAGGCUUGGACUUUGCCAAAGAACCGGUGACGUUAUUGAGCCUAUGAUUAAACCUCAAUGGUACGUCAAUUGCAGCAUGAUUGGAAAGGAGGCUCUCGAUGUUGCUAUCAAUGAUGAGAACAAGAAGCUCGAGUUUGUACCAAAGCAGUACACUGCAGAAUGGAGAAGGUUGCUUUCAUUUGUCAUUUACUCUUAUGGUUCUUCUAUUAUUAAUCUAUUAACAAUCACAAUGGACCUUAACAGAUGGCUAGAGAACAUACGUGACUGGUGUAUUUCAAGACAGCUUUGGUGGGGCCACCGGAUUCCAGCAUGGUACGCCGCUCUAGAGGAAGAUGAGCGCAAGGAGGUUGGUGCGUACAACGACCAUUGGGUUGUUGCUAGAACCGAGGAAGAAGCUCGUAAAGAGGCUGCUGAUAAAUUUUCUGGGAAAAAGUUUGAACUGACGCAAGAUCAGGAUGUACUUGAUACGUGGUUUUCUUCUGGGCUCUUUCCAUUAUCUGUUCUGGGAUGGCCCGAUGAAACUGAAGACUUCAAAGCUUUCUAUCCAACAUCUGUCCUAGAAACUGGACACGAUAUUCUCUUUUUUUGGGUUGCUCGUAUGGUUAUGAUGGGAAUGAAACUAGGUGGUGAUGUUCCAUUCAGUAAGGUACAUAAAAGUUUUAGUUAAAUCAAUCCUUUUCGAUCCAAGUCUUAUCUUGCUUUUUUUUUUGUCAUCAGCAUAAACAGACUCAUACAGACUCUGUGAACCAGAGAUUUAUUCAAUUUCCUGGUCAUUCUACACCACUUUAUGUAUUCUAAUCAAGCUUCUUACAAAGUGAUUCAUCCUGGUUUGAUUGGAACGACGAAGAAACUGGAAUCACCUGAUUUGAAAGUGGGAUAACUUCUUCAUCCCAACUCCUAUGAGAUUUAUUCAAAUUUUUUUUUUUGUCAUCAGCAUAAACAGACUCAUACAGACUCUGUGAACCAGAGAUUUAUUCAAUUUCCUGGUCAUUCUACACCACUUUAUGUAUCUAAUCAAGCUUCUUACAAAGUGAUUCAUCCUCGUUUGAUUGGAACGACGAAGAAGAUGUCAUAUUCCCAUACUGGGAAGCUGGAAUAACUUGAUUUGAAAGUGGAAUAACUUAUUCAUCCUAACUCCUAUGAGAUUUAUUCAACUUCCUGGUCAUUCUACACCACUUUAUGUAUCCAAAUCAAGCUUCUUACAAAGUGAUUCAUCCUGGUUUGAUUGGAACGUAUCCGAGAGAUGUGUGGAUCGUGAAACGAUCUUUCUGGUCGGGUUGUGAAGUCUUGGUUCUUAGUUACGAGAGAGGAUGGUAUCGUUUGGCGGGCCAUAGGCAGCAGCGAUAGAUCCGGGUUGAGAAGGCACUACAGUGUCUUUGGGUUCUACAAGUGGAUGGUUCGUAUGGCGUGCUGAGGGCAGCAUCGAUUUAUCCAGAUUAUUGUUAUCUGCUUCUUAGGAGAUUGUUUGCACUGAUUUGUCAUUUGCUUUGGUCUAGUUUAUUGAGUUGUAGUGUGUUGUAUUUCUUUUGCCUAGUUAAAGAUGUGUUCGAAAGUUACCCCGGUGUGGGUUCUAGCUGCCUGUUCUUUGGGCUAUUGGCUCUGGAGAUAUUUUUAUCUGCCAGCUUUUGUAUUAAUCUAUCGUAUGAAUGAAUUUCAAUUUGGGAAAAAAAAAAAA
rnacentral:lncRNA from 1 species